CACCAUACACUUCCGCCACCCAAACCUAACCCAAUUGUUGUUUGAGCUUGUUUGAGUUGUGGCUUGUGUCUCCUAAGGUGUUUCGGCUACUUAGGGACGGCAACUUCAACUCCGACUCGUGUAUAGCCCAUCAUUCCACUUCCGCAUUGCCUAGUGCAACACCACCACCGCUUUCCGCUACCACCAUUUGACAUUUGACGUUUGAGAUUUUGAGUUUGCGGUUUUUCCGUUUCCUAAGGUGUUUCGGCUACUUAGGGACGAGUCUCCAUCAUCUUGGUAUCUACACCAAGAACACCGCCACUCAUCAUCGCAAAGGACGGUAACCUCGACGACACCUUUGUAUAUUCCCUUGCAAUUGCAUUGUUAACCCCUAGCCCAUUUUGCGUUACUUGCCUAUCGAGACUAGCCAUUUGAGUAUUGCCGGCAACGUUACUUGUGCACAUUAGUGAUCCACCAUCCAUUGCAUACAUACCAUAUCAUCUUGGUAUCAUAUCAUCCAUUGUGCCUCAAGUUUGUUCCCGCAUAUACACAAUUGCUAUCUUGGUUUGUGCAUUGUGCAAAAGUGGCCAUAGAAAAAAAAGAGAAAAAGCUUUUAAGCAAAAAGAGAGCAAAGAGCUCAUGAGCAAGUGCCAUAGCAUCAUACCCCAUUGCACAUAAGAGCCAUACCAAAAUCUACAUCAUAUGAUAUCAUGCUUGAGAGAAACACCGGGAACCAUACAUACAUAGCAUACUUGGGAUAGAAAGAAUAUCCAUUUUGCAUCUUAUAGGUUGUGCACAAGUGUCGUAUCCGCCUAUUGAGCAAUCGUGCUAGCGUCUCUCUUGAGUUGUGCAACACGAGCGUUUUCCAUGGAUUCCACAUUUUGUGCUCAUUCCUUGGUUGCACGACCCCAUUUAUCUAUCCGUGUGUGUGUUUCCGUGUGCCAUUCUUUGCUAUUGGUCCAUUUGUUUCGCUUGCGAAUUUGUGAAUCUCUUUCAACAUUAUUGACUCUUGCUAACAUUUUGCAUCAAAUUUUUGUGCCACUAUCCUCACCAAGCUCUACCAUAAGCUUUACUUGAUAGGUGUGAGUGAACAAGUCCGGUACCAAUUCCACUAUUCUUUCAUCUCACAUUGAGUGACACGGGAUACAUCCUCAACUUUGGGAAAAGGUAACUUGGUAUUGUUUAUCUCAUUUCCUACUCACCUCUACUCGAGUCUUGUGAUGGAUAGGCAAGGCAUUUCAUCUUCGGUCUACAACAACAACGACGAGUUCGAUGCCAUGAACAACAACUCCGACGCCAAGAUGCAAGCUAAAAUGGAGGAGAUCAAAGCCCUCAUCAAGUCCUACAAGCGAUCUUCCUCAUCUUUGAGAAGACUCUCAAGAGCACAUGCUUCCGAGCUACCAUCUCCGACAAGAUCACAUCGGCAUCGACACCAUCACAAACAAGAACGUGAAGGUCAAGAGCUCUACAUCAACAACCGCUCAAUGACUUCACCAUCUCCCUUGGCAUCUUCGCCAAGCGACUUCAAGGCAUUUUCGCCUACGGACAUACGGCAUCUUCGCCAACAAGAACCCCAAGACUACGCUCAAGAGAAGCUCCCCAAGCUCAAGUCCGCGACUUCCACGAGCUACUACGACCUCGACAUCGACCACGCGAUUCCUUUCUAUGGGACUCAAGAACCCGAGGAGUACCUCGAGUGGGAGCGUUCGAUGGACGACUACCUCAAGCUACAUCAAGUUCGUCCCGAAGAUCAAGUGAAGUGCGCCACAAGAAACUUCCACGACUACGCCUCGACAUGGUGGCUUCACACACCUUCGGAGAGCUACGAGAUGAGUUGGCCCAAGAUGAAGAGAGCUUUACGGCGAGAGUUUGUGCCUCCAACCUACACGGAACAACUUCGACACCAAUUGGAGAACACCACCCAAGGAUCCAAGUCCAUCGACAAGUACUUCAAGGAGAUGAUGAUUGCCUUGCGACGAGCCGGCGUGGACGACCCCAUUUCUAUGAAGUUCCACUUCAUGAUGGGAUUGCACAACGACAUCUCCAAGACCAUCUUCCUCGAGAACUACAAGUCCAUCGACGACUACUACAUUGGCGCUCUCAAGGCGGAACAAGAACUCAUGAAGGCCAAGGCUUCUCCACCCCAAGCAAACUUCGCGGCGACCAAGCUCUACGACAAGCAUGAGGCUAGUACCACCAAGAUGUCCAAGCCCGACGAGCUCCAAGACGAUGCUCCCAAGGACCAAGCUUUGGAGGCGAGCGACAAGGUGGCAAGCAAGGAUGAUGCUUCCAUCUUAGGAGGCGAGAGUGAUGAUGUGCCAUCUUCGGCCUUCAUCCACGACGAGAGUGAUGAUGUGCCAUCUUCGGCCUUCAUCCACGACGAGAGUGAUGAUGUGCCAUCUUCGGCCUUCAUCCAUGGCGACCACGACGAGAUGGUUGAGCAUGGGAUUUUCCCUUCGACCACAGCGACGUAUGAUGACUUGAGUGACUUGUGCCACCAUAUUGAGAGUGAGAGUGACUUCACCACUAGCCCCAUAUAUGUUGAGUUGCCACAAUUCACAUGUGAGGAGAGCCACAACCCCCACCACUUGAGUGAGAUGAGUGACUCCACCAUACGUGAGUUUGAGUGCACCUAUUUUGAGGGAGUGAGUGAACCACCACAUAGAGAGAGUGAGAUAGUUGAUAGGUCUCGUGAGGCCAUUUGCAUUUCUAACAACUUGACCUCUACCUCUAUUGUGUCUUCUCGUUUGGUGCUAGGUCCCAUUUAUGAUGACGCACCGAUCCUCGACGACUUCGUCCUCCCUUUGGACAAGACGAUGGCCAUGGUGGAUUAUGAUGCACCGCCCACAUGGUUCCAUCAAGAUGAUGAUGAUGACCACCAUUUGGUCUUUCCCACCUCACCUACACCACUUGAGUGGAAUGACAAAGGUAACAUAGGUGAAGGUGAUGCUCUAGUCCCACUAGUGGACAUUCUUGACAUUGAUUGCUUGCAUGAUGUUGAUCCACCUAUUGCCAUGCUUCAUGCUAGUAUGAUUUCCCCAUGCGAUGAUUUGCCCAUUUAUGAUGAGUAUGAUGAUUCUAUUGUGGAGUCUAUUAGUUGUGAUGCCAUGUUACAUAGGAUUUCUUGUGACAAUUCUUUAGGUCACAUCAUGUUUGAAAAUCCGCUUGACUUGUCAUAUGCUAUGCAUGAGAUCAACCAUAUGUCUUAUUUGCAAUCUCUUCAUAGUGACUAUGCAUAUGCCAUUAAAAUAAACCCAAUUUGCACAUAUGGCAUAGAUGACAAGCCCAUGGUUAUUGGCAUUUGUUUCUCUUGUGAUGAUAUUGAUAUGCUCCAUUUGCAUCAUUUAUCUCAUAUGCCAUGCCAUGACCACCUAGCUUCGAAUAUGCAUUGUUUUGGAUGUUGUCCAUUUUCUCCAUAUGAUGUUUCCGAUAUUGCUCAUGAGGAGACCCCCAUAGUUUCCUCAUACAUUUUAGGAGAUUUUGACCCAUCCCAUCCAUUGCAUCAUCCCAAUACUUGUGUGCACCAUAUGCUCCCCAUGAAUAAACAUGCUUUUGAUGUGCCAUAUACUUGUUUGCUCAAUUUGUGUCCCCAUUGUGUCAUACAUAACAACUAUUCUUUCAUGAUAGAUGACAUGUUCUUAUACCAUGCAUCAAAUUUCUUUGAGCGAUGCUUAUCUUGUGCUAACUCACACGUGCACAUACACAUCAUGAUGGAUGAUGUGUACAUUUACCACGCACACAAUUUCUUUGGAUUGUGUCUCUUUUGUGUAGGUACCCAUGAAUACUUGUCAACCUCGCAAUCCCACGAGUUGACAAAACGAUCUCUAGAGAGCAACGAUGAAUUGGGAUCACGUGGAUUGUCUUUACCACCGUCCCCUUCGUGCAAGGACUACACGCAACUCCUCUACUUGUCUCUCACACGGCUAUGGGCCAUUUACCACUUCUCACAUUAUGCUCAUUUUACCGUGUUCACUUUGCAUGCUAUGCUUGCUUCUAUGCCUUUGCCAUGCAAUUGUGACCCUUGCUUGCAUCUACCCAUGAUUCUACAUUAUGAUAUUCCUAUGUGUAUUUGCAUGCUUGGUGGAGAUCCUUGUUGCUUUUGCCAUGUUUAUCAUGUGCCCCAUUCUAUUGAUGCUAUUUGUGUUGGGAGAGUCAUGAUGACCCAUUGCUAUUCACAUAUGGCCUCUCGCCAAUACAUUCAUGAUAUUGUACUCAUAUCUUGCUUUCAUGCUUGUGCUAUGACUUGCGAAUUAUUCAUGCCCACUAUUUGCACCAAUGACAUAUUUGCCAUGAUUCCUCCUAGUAUGUUGCAUCUUCGCACUACUAGCUUGCUUGAUUUGAUAGCUAUGAAUGCUCGCUAUAUUGCAUCACCCAUGUUCCACUACUUUCUUUCUUGGGUUGAUGACAUAUAUGCUCAUGCCUCUCACAUGAUAUAUCUUGAUCAUUGUCCCUUUGCUUAUCACAUGCUUGACUUGAUUGCCUCACACAUGAUGAACAAUUGCUCUUUCCAUUGUGUUGAGUGCCACGAUAUCUUCACUACACACUAUGCACGUUAUGCUUGGAUUGUCUUGCACUUGCCCCAUGUGUUUAGACAUUUCACUAUAUUUGCUGUUGUGAAUGACUCUUAUGCCUACCAUAGGCCGUUCAUUGAGCUCUUUACGCAUGCUUGCUAUGACCUUGAGGUAGAUGCUUGUUCACUUAUCACAUAUAUUUGCAUCUUGACCUCCCAUUUACAUGCUUGUUCCCAUGAUGUACUUGAUUGUGCUCAAUUUAUAUGUCCAAAUGUCAUGACACACUCCUUUGUCAAACCAUAUGCUAUGCUUGAUGACAACACUUGUUGGGUGAAUCACCUCUUGAAUGCUUGGUUUUGCUCUUACGACAACAACAUUUGUUUUUCCAAGUGCUUGUUAUCUUUGCUACUUUUGAAGGAAUUACAAUACGGUGUGACACUGGAGAGUGCCUAUUUGGAACUUCAAGAUGACAAGAACUUGGUGAUCAAACACUUCUACACGACAACGCCAUCUCUUUCGCAUGGUGAUUUGGUUUUUGAUCCGAGGUCGGAUCUUUCCCAAGGGGGAGGGGAUGAUGCGGAGCAUCCUACGGACAUCACCACGUCAAGAGCCCAUUUGGCAAGUGACACGUGCGACAUCUACUUCACAUACACAAAGGUGAAUCAUCUCCUUUACACGUGCUCACUUGACACUCUCGAGGAUGGUAUACUACUUGACGUGUGCAUGCAUAGGUAUUGUCGGAGCUUCGCGGAUGUCAAGGAGGAGUGCAAGCGCCAAGGAACGACUACACCAUCCGCGAGGGAAGCGUGGAAGAGAAGACGGAAGAAAGGAGAAGAAGACGGAGCGGCUGCAGGAGCCAGGCCGGACAUCCGGGCCGCCGUCCGGAUCAUCCGGGCUCAGCCGGAUCAUCCGGGUCCCCCUCCGGAUCAUCCGGAUAAUUCGUCCGAAGACACCCGAAGGCCUCAUGUGAAGCCGGAUCAUCCGGGCCCCCUCCCGGAUCAUCCGGAUGAUGGCCGGAUCAUCUGGGCCCCCUCCCGGAUCAUCCGGACGAUGGCCGGAUCAUCCAGACCCCCUUCCGGAUCAUCCGGGCCUUGCCUGCGUGCAACGUUUCGGGCCGAGGCCCAUGUACCCAUUCGCCCCCUCACUUACCCCUUCGCCCACUAGACUAUAAAAAGACCUCCUCCUCCCCAUUUUUAGGGUUAGCAAAGUGAUAGCUCAUUCUUAGGUGAGCUUUGCUCCUACCUAUCUCUACUCUUGAGAGAGAGAGAGACCACUACUCCAUUGGAGGCCAAGACCUCCAUCUAGGAGAAGAUCCCGUGGGAUAUCAUCAAGACCCCCUUGUGGGAAGAUCCAUCUAGGAUAUCAUCAAGACCUCCUCUUGGAGAUGAACCUUACCUUGUAUCUUUCCCUUUGUUGUUCAUGUACCUUGUGACCUUGUGUGUUUGAUUGUCUAGUGGAUGUGUGAUUUGGGCUUGUUCUUGAGUGUUUCCCCUUAUGAUUUCUCCCCGUUCUUCCCCGUGUUCAUCGUGUUCUUCGAGGGAUCCCACUCCAAACGUGAAAGAUCGCCGCUAUAGGGUUCCACCCUACAUCACAACGUCACCACCUCUCUGCACGCGAACUUCUUAGCACGUAGUUGUCACCGCCGGUACACCUCAGCACCAUGCCGCCAAGUACCACCAGCCGACACAACUUGAAGUCUCUGGAAGAUCUGUCGUGCGUAGCACCUGCCGACUAGGCAUGAAAGCGUAGCACCUAUCGGCCAGGCAUGACUUGACAUCUCCACCGAAGCUCCCUGCAAGACGAAGCCGCUCCACCUCCUACCUCUGACUUCCAGCGCUGCUCCACAAACGAUACUCCCAAGAGAGAAACGACACCUCAGUGCCGCCAUCAUCCGAUCUGGAAAACCAGAUCAUAGGGUUUCCCCCGGAGCAGCACUAGUGGGUCGACAGUACUUACAGAAUGAUACCUUCAUCAAGGUAACAGCACAGAAUGCCGCCAUCGUCCGCCGUCAGCUCGGUUUUCACCGGCAACUAUGUCUCCGCAACUCACAGCCGGGACUAGAUUACAGAUCUCGAGAUCCGAUCAUCUAGCCUCAGGUCGACCACCUCCGACGUAGGAGAUGACCACCACCGCCAUAAUCCUCGUGAUGCGAUGCAGACCCGGAGUGCUUCAGCGAGCCAUCGCCGAAUCCGAUGAGAUGGAGCAGUUUGAGGACGUAACGGCAGCCGCCCGCCUAGACCCAAAGGUCCUAGAUCGAGCCCAGGACGCGCCACGGUUGCCGCUGCCGCCAUCUCGCACUACUCCCGCCAGCUGCAGCCAAGCCCCCCGCCGCGCUCUGGUCGCCGCUGCUCACCAUCCUCAUCGGGAGUGAGAUCCAAAUCAGGCCGCCGCCACCUUAGAUCUCGGGACGCUAGAGGAGGUCCGCCGCCACCGCGCCACAGGGCCUUCGCCCAGCGGCGUUGCCGGCAGCGGCGGAGGGAAGGGGAUGCACGGGGAGUCGAGGUGAGGUCGAGAGGUGGCCACCCGGUGCGGCCCGGCGGUGGCCACACGGGGCGGGAGUCCCUCGCCAAGCGCCACCAAAAACUGAUCGACGAUGUUUCAACACAAUGCACACAUACCCAUCAUCUCGACAUGUAGAAUGCAUACAACCAACAUAACAAACAUAAAUAAACAUGUCAUCAAAGAGCAAAAUCAUACAAGACCAAAGAUAUGCCUAAGUAAGAGCAACUCCAAUGGGGCGACCCAAACGGACGGUGAGUUCGUUCGCUUUUUGUCCGUUUGGGUCGGCCGCCCUCUCGGCGUCCGCCCUGUUUUAGAUAUGGGUCGCCAGCGCGCCCAACACGCCGACCCAUAUGUGCCGGCAUGGCCGGCUGGCCGCCCUAUUUUGCAUUGAUGAAUUUGCAUUUAAACAUAUAGUCAAAUAACAUAGUUUGAACCGAAUGAAAUAGCAUAGUUUUACAAGCCGAAUAAAAAUAAAAAUGUGUGACAUAGUUCUCACAUAGUUUUGCAAACGAAUAAAAAAAGAUACAUCUAUUGGUUGCCAACAUGAGACCACAUAUGCUCAACCAAAUCAUUUUGCAGUUGCACGUGAGUUUCCCAAUCACGCAUGUCAUGAUGAAAUUGGGUGAAACUGUUCAAACAUUGCCGCUCCUCCAUGCUCAGACACAACAUUCUCACCCUGAAAUUGAUACCCUUGAUUGUACAGACGUUCCAGGCGCUCGUCUUCUAUGAUCAUAUUGUGCAUGAUCAUACAAUCAGUCAUCACCCCCACAGUUUCUGUAUGCUCCAUGUAUUAGCAGGAUACCGAACGAUGCCCCAUCGAGGUUGCAAAACACCAAAGGCACGCUCGACAUCCUUCCUAGCACUCUCUUGCUCUUGGGCAAAUCUUUUCCUCUUCUCUCCGACAGGGUUGGGUAUGUCGUGACAAUAGUGGUCCACUGAGGAUAGAUACAGUUACCCAGGUAGUAUCCUUUGUCGUAGUUGUGGCCGUUGACAGUAAAGUUCACCGGUGGGCUGUUGCCUUCGGCAAGCCUAGUAAACACCGGCGAGCGCUGAAGCACGUUGAUAUCAUUGUGUGAUCCGACCAUGCCAAAGAAAGAGUGCCAGAUCCAGAGAUCUUGAGACGCAAUGGCCUCUAGUAUGACAGUGCAAGCCCUGACAUGGCCCUUAUACUGCCCUUGCCAAGCAGAAGGGCAGUCCUUCCACUCCCAGUGCAUGCAGUCUAUGCUACCAAGCAUCCCUGGGAAGCCCUUGUUGGCAUUCAUCACCAACAAACAGGCUGUAUCUUUAGCGGUCGGCUCUCUCAAGUACUCAGGGCCAAACACGGCAAUAAUAGCCUUGCAAAACUUAUACAGGGACUCUAGGCAUGUAGACUCGCUCAUACGGACGUACUCGUCAAUGAGAUCACCGGGCACUCCGUAUGCAAGCAUUCGGAUGGCGGCAGUGCAUUUCUGAUAAGAGAAGAAACCAAUCAUGCCAACAGCAUCCUCUUUGCACUCGAAAUAGUCAUCAUAGCCGACCACCCCCUCUCUAAUACGGUUGAAAAGAUGCCUACUCAUACGGAAACGGCGGCGGAAUUUUUGAUGUUUGAACGGGUUUGUUGUAUCAAAGUAGUCCUUCCAAAGAAGGAAAUGUCCGCUCUCUCAGUUGCGAUUCAACGCCGGAAGGUGGCCCGGAAUGGAGCCACGGAACAAUGGCCGCUGGCUGUUGAGGUGGUGAUGGACCAACAUGGCAGCCAAUAUCUCCUCCUUGUCAUUGGACAACGAAACAUCGGAGUCUCAAAGGAAAUUGUGAAAAAAGAACUUGUCGGUGGAGUCCAUUUUGUACCUUGGCAAAUUGUCAAACAUCUUGCAGGGAUCGACGAAGCAGACGGCCAGCAAAGGGAGUCGCGGCGCGCACGGACCAACUACCUGCCCUGCCGGCGUCCGACGAGCAUGCCGGUGAGGAUCUGGCGGGGCGGCUGUGUGGUGGGGGGGGCGCGGGGGUGGGAAGCAGUCGGCUCCCCGGCGGCAAGACGGCGGUGGCGAGUGACGUGGGAGUGGGCGGCGUUGUUGGGCGGAUGUGGAGGCGCCGACAGCUGGCAGAGUCGCCGACAAAAAUGGGCGGCGGCAUUGGCGAUGAAGGAGGUGGGCAAGGGAUGCUGUUGGAUGGGGGAGGCCAUUGUGCACCGACCAGCGGGCCCGGGGGAUAAGAAGGCGAGCGUGCGUGUGUCCAUUGCAUGUCCGCGCCGAUGCAAAUCUGGCUCAAAAAUGGUCCGGUAAUGGGUCGCCCACGGACGAAAAGCGGACGCGCAUCCAUUUGGGUCGGUGCAUUGGGCCACCUUUUGUGUCCGCACCGACCCAAACGAACGGCGGUGGACGAACUGGGUCGCCCCAUUGGAGUUGCUCUAAGGAAAAAGAAAAGAAAACCCCGAAGCAAUCAAGCUAUCGAUCGGCAAACUACAACAACGACCAUAUCCGCACCAACAUCUUAUGAUGUCAUAAGGAAAACAAAAAGGUUCACCAUCGAUGCCUUCAGGAAGGGAACGCCGCUCAAGUGCCGCCAUCACCUGAUCCGACCACCAAUGAUCAGAGUCUUAGUUUCCACACUGAAGAACAAGUCCGAGCAUAUUCGACCAAUGCUUUCAAUAAGGUAACAUCGCAAAAACAUCACUAUUGUCAAGCAUAACCAACUCAGGUCACAACUAAUAUUUUCACCCCCGAGCUCGAGACCAGGUACGUAACAAACGUCAUCAAAUAAGAGUCACCAUGUGUUAUCGCCACUACUUUUCGUGAUCCCAAUAGCUAUAUGCGUUGGGUUAGAAAUUCCACCACCGUAGCUGCACAAUCAUACCCUUUGCGUCAAAUCGCUGUCCAUAAAUUGCAUCUAAUCGCUGAAGGUAAACUGGUUGGAGUGAGAGCCACCAAAAACCAGAAAUGAACCUUUUGGCUGCAUACCACAAACUCGCUAGUAAGCGCCACCUACAAUAGCCAUUGGAUUAGGGCACCCUAGACCAUAACCACCGCAUCUGAGAGAGCGUUGAUUGAGGAGGAGGGCCAGGAAGCUGCCUCCCUCCACUUUCCCGGGCACCCCCGCUCCACGCCAUGGACGGAUCUGAGGAAAACCAACUACUUUGGCCAGUACCGCUGGAUCUACGUGGAUGCAGCAAUGGUGGUUGCACUGCCCAAUGGUAGGAGCGGGACAGCUACAUCCCCUCGAGGCACGACUGGCAGAGUUGAUUCCGACGAAUCACGGGUAGGGGCUCCCGAGCUAGUAGCCUAGAUGCGAUGGUAACAAAGGUACCAGGUUUUACCUAGGUUCCGGCUCUCUUGAAUAGAUAAUACCCUACACCUUUCUUGUGUUUGUAUUGAUUUGGGAUGGAUUAGAAUGUAGACAUUGAUCUACCACGAGAUUGUUUUGUGUGGUCUACAUGCCCUACCCCUUGGUUUAUAUAGAACCAGGGUUCUAGGGUUACAUGUAAUUAGGCUACGUAUAUAUAGCAAUCAUAUUGUAGACGAGCUCUAAGUCUUGGAGUAUGCGACAAGUCUUCGGGAAUAUUUGUUCCACGCGCCAUGGGCCUCCCACUGGUGAACUGACAUAGGGGGUCCACGGCUCAGCCCACCUGGCGGGGAGACAUCAUGGUGAGUUACCCCUAGUUCGAGACACCAUCAAUGAUGACCGCGAUCAAGGCGCAACCAGACGAUUGUGAGGGUUGGGAGACACCCGGCAACGACCUAAUAGAGCUCGGGGUCAAGUGUCACGCAUACGAGGCCCCGCGGCCACCAACCACCGCAUGAGGCUUUGCACCGAUGGCGCCGAUCAGUGGUGGCGAGGAAGGAAGGAGGCCUAUGGUGGUGGUGGUGGUUGAUGCGCCACCUGAAUCGAGCGAUAAGGGGGCCUCGCUCGUUUGAUGUCCAUUUGUGGUCCUUUGAGUAACUUUUUAUUAUAACACAGUAUAGAAGCAGCACUCAUAUGGGACUAGCAAGGACCAUGGCUUCUCCAAACAUGAUGAAUUCUUUUGAAGACCUAAUAAUCAAUUUAUAAAGAGCCAUGUGAUCUGCAGCAUUUUAGCAAGCGAACAGUCUAAAAUAAAUCUUAAAUUUGUAAUCUGAACCUGAAUUGAACCAUGUCUUCAAAUUUAUAAAGAUGGAUCUGACACGUAGGCCCAGUGAGAGAAGCAUGUGAUCCUGAUCGGGAUUGAUCUUUUCCCGGUUCUACAACGAAGUGUUUAGUAGAAAUCAACCAGCGAUAGACCGUGAUCUAAAAAUAUAGGGUGACAAUAUUAGGGAUUUUGACUUUAGAGUUCGACUCAGACUCAAUGAAUUCAAGAUUUAAUUCGGACAUUUUGAUUUUAUUACAAAACAAAAUACAUGUAUUCCCCACAAAAUAUCCCGUCAAAAAUUGGGAUGCAUUUUCUAAAACGUAAUUGUAGCUACUUAAGCCCUUCUAUGCAAUCUUUGCCUAAUUAAGCAUUGCCCUAUUGAACUAUAUGACCUGAUGCUGGACAGUGGGACAGCCGACUCUAUUUACAGCAUGGAUUGUCUGGUGUAUUAGCUAUUAUAAUAAUUAAAUUGUGUAGAAUCUAAUACCUGAUGCUCGAUAUAACAUUGCCCAUGGUUCUUAGCGAAAAUUCGUGAGCCUUAAACUCAAACAACGCACACAUUUUGUUAAACAACUCGACUACAAUAGAUAACUUCAUCGCACACAUUCAUACAAAGAUAAUCAUCUGCCAUUGGUGGACAAUUUACACGCCGUUUGGUCCGCCAAAUUGUUUGCGAACUACAACAACAUUGGACACGAACGACACCAAGAUAAUUGUCUAUGAUGCAUCUUAUUUCGUGAAAAAAUAUAUUUUAUACACGGUGUGCGUGCAAACCAUACAAGAAUUGCACACGAUUAUGCUUUGCGGGCCGUUUGAAAACCCCAGAACAUCGUAGAAAUUUUCUCACUGGUCUGCGAUGAUCCCCCCAUCCCUGUUAAGCGUGAGAUAUUCUAGGCAUCAAGAGUUACUUGCGUCAUGAGUUGAGGUAGUUGGGGAUAGGUUGUUUUUCUAUUUAAAUCUCUUCUAUCUCUCUCUACCCCGAAUCCCUCUCUCUCUGUAAUCUGUUCGAUUGCCUCUCCAACCGAUUGCCUUGUACUCCGUGUGAGGUCUUCUCACUAGAUCAAUAUAAUACCAUGCGGGAUCCAUGUUAGUGAAGGAAAUAUGCCCUAGAGGCAAUAAUAAAGUUAUUAUUUAUUUCCUCAUAUCAUGAUAAAUGUUUAUUAUUCAUGCUAGAAUUGUAUUAACCGGAAACAUGAUACAUGUGUGAAUACAUAGACAAACAUAUAGUCACUACUAUGCCUCUACUUGACUAGCUCAUUAAUCAAAGAUGGUUAUGUUUCCUAACCAUAGACAUGUGUUGUCAUUUGAUUAAUAGGAUCACAUCAUUAGGAGAAUGAUGUGAUUGACAUGACCCAUCCCGUUAGCCUAGAACUUGAUCGUUUAGUAUUCUGCUAUUGCUUUCUUCAUGACUUAUACAAGUUCCUGUAACUAUGAGAAUUAUGCAACUCCCGUUUACCGGAAGAACACUUUGGGUACUACCAAACGUCACAACAUAACUGGGUGAUUAUAAAGGAGUACUACAGGUGUCUCCGAAGGUACAUGUUGGGUUGGCGUAUUUCGAGAUUAGGUUUUGUCACUCCGAUUGUCGGAGAGGUAUCUCUGGGCCCUCUCGGUAAUGCACAUCACUAUAAGCCUUGCAAGCAAUAUGACCAAUGGGGUGGUUACGAGAUGAUGCAUCACAGAACGAGUAAAGAGACUUGCCGGUAACGAGAUUGAACUAGGUAUUGGAUAUCGACGAUCGAAUCUCGGGCAAGUAACAUACCGAUGACAAAGGGAACAACGUAUGUUGUUAUGCGGUUAUGUAGGGUCCGCUAUUGGUUAUUGAUCGAGAAUGGUUCUAGGUCAUGUCUACAUAGUUCUCGAACCUGUAGGGUCCGCAUGCUUAACGUUUCGAUGACAGUUUUAUUAUGAGUUUAUAAGUUUUGAUGUACCGAAGUUUGUUCGGAGUCUUGGAUGUGAUCAUGGACAUGACGAGGAGUCUCGAAAUGGUCGAGACAUAAAGAUUGAUAUAUUGGACGACUAUAUUCGGACACCGGAAUUGUUCCGGGUGAUUUCAGAGAAAAUCGGAGUGCCGGGGGGGUUACCGGAACCCCCUGGGAGAGUAUUGGGCCUUAUGGGCCUUAGGGGAAAGGAGAGAGGGGCGGCCAGCAUGGGCCGCGCGCCCCCUCCCCCCUCUGGUCCGAAUUGGACUAGGAGGGGGGCGGCGCCCCCCCUUUCCUUCCCCCUCUCCCCCUUCCUUCCCCCUCCUAGUAGGAGUAGGAAAGGAGGAGUCCUACUCCUACUAGGAGGAGGAUUCCUCCUCCCUUGGCGCGCCCAAAGGGGCCGGCCGGCCUCCCCCCUUGCUCCUUUAUAUACGGGGGCGGGGGGGCACCCCAGAUACACACAAGUUGAUCUACGGAUCGUUCCUUAGCCGUGUGCGGUGCCCCCCUCCACCAUAUUCCACCUCGGUCAUAUCGUCGCGGAGUUUAGGCAAAGCCCUGCGCCGGUAGAACAUCAUCAUCGUCACCACGCCGUCGUGCUGACGGAACUCAUCUCCGGAGCUCGGCUGGAUCGGAGGCCGGAGAUCGUCAUCGAGCUGAACGUGUGCUAAACUCGGAGGCCCCGUACGUUCGGUGCUUGGAUCAGUCGGAUCGUGAAGACGUACGACUACAUCAACCGCGUUGUGCUAACGCUUCCGUUUACGGUCUACGAGGGUACGUGGAUGAACACUCUCCCCUCUCGUUGCUAUAUCAUCACCAUGAUCUUGUGUGUGCGUAGGAAUUUUUUUUGAAAUUACUACGUUGCCCAACAGUGGCAUCCGAGCCUAGGUUUUAUGCGUUGAUGUUAUAUGCACGAGUAGAACACAAGUGAGUUGUGGGCGAUACAAGUCAUACUGCUUACCAGCAUGUCAUACCUUGGUUCGGCGGUAUUGUGAGAUGAAGCGGCCCGGACCGAUAUUACGCGUACGCUUACGCGAGACUGGUUUCACCGUUACGAGCACUCGUGCUUAAAGGUGGCUGGCGGGUGUCUGUCUCUCUCACUUUAGCUGAAUCGAGUAUGGCUACGCCCGGUCCUUGCGAAGGUUAAAACAACACCAACUUGACGAACUAUCGUUGUGGUUUUUGAUGCGUAGGUAAGAACAGUUCUUGCUAAGCCCGUAGCAGCCACGUAAAAUUUGCAACAACAAAGUAGAGAACGUCUAACUUGUUUUUGCAGGGCAUGUUGUGAUGUGAUAUGGUCAAGACGUGAUGCUAUAUUUUAUUGUAUGAGAUGAUCAUGUUUUGUAACCGAAGUUAUCGGCAACUGGCAGGAGCCAUAUGGUUGUCGCUUUAUUGUAUGAAAUGCAAACGCCCUAUAAUUGCGUUACUUUAUCACUAAGCGGUAGCGAUAGUCGUAGAAGCAAUAGAUGGCGUAACGACAACGAUGCUACGAUGGAGAUCAAGGUGUCGCGCCGGUGACGAUGGUGAUCAUGACGGUGCUUCGAAGAUGGAGAUCACAAGCACAAGAUGAUGAUGGCCAUAUCAUAUCACUUAUAUUGAUUGCAUGUGAUGUUUAUCCUUUAUGCAUCUUAUCUUGCUUUGAUUGACGGUAGCAUUUUAAGAUGAUCUCUCACUAAUUAUCAAGAAGUGUUCUCCCUGAGUAUGCACCAUUGCGAAAGUUCUUCGUGCUGAGACACCACGUGAUGAUCGGGUGUGAUAGGCUCUACGUUCAAAUACAACGGGUGCAAAACAGUUGCACACGCGGAAUACUCAGGUUAUACUUGACGAGCCUAGCAUAUACAAAUAUGGCCUCGGAACACAGAGACCGAAAGGUCGAGCGUGAAUCAUAUAGUAGAUAUGAUCAACAUAGCGAUGUUCACCAUUGAAACUACUCCAUCUCACGUGAUGAUCGGACAUGGUUUAGUUGAUUUGGAUCACGUGAUCACUUAGAUGACUAGAGAGAUGUCUGUCUAAGUGGGAGUUCUUAAGUAAUAUGAUUAAUUGAACUUAAAUUUAUCAUGAACUUAGUACCUGAUAGUAUUUUGCUUGUCUAUGUUUGUUUGUAGAUAGAUGGCUCGUGCUGUUGUUCCAUUGAAUUGUAAUGCGUUCCUUGAGAAAGCAAAGUUGAAAGAUGAUGGUAGCAAUUACACGGACUGGGUCCGUAACCUGAGGAUUAUCCUCAUUGCUGCACAGAAAAGUUACAUCCUGGAAGCACCGCUGGGUGCCAGGCCUGCUGCUGAUGCAACUGACAAUGUUAAGAACGUCUGGCAGAGCAAAGCUGAUGACUACUCUAUAGUUCAGUGUGCCAUGCUUUACGGCUUAGAACCGGGACUUCAACGACGUUUUGAACGUCAUGGAGCAUAUGAGAUGUUCCAGGAGUUGAAGUUAAUAUUUCAAGCAAAUGCCCGGAUUGAGAGAUAUGAAGUCUCCAAUAAGUUCUAUAGCUGCAAAAUGGAGGAGAAUAGUUCUGUCAGUGAACACAUACUCAAAAUGUCUGGGUAUAAUAAUCACUUGAUUCAACUGGGAGUUAAUCUUCCUGAUGAUAGUGUCAUUGACAGAAUUCUCCAAUCACUGCCACCAAGCUACAAGAGCUUCGUGAUGAACUAUAAUAUGCAAGGGAUGAACAAGACUAUUCCCGAGCUCUUCGCAAUGCUAAAACCUGCGGAGGUAGAAAUCAAGAAGGAGCAUCAAGUGUUGAUGGUCAACAAGACCACUAGUUUCAAGAAGAAGGGCAAAGGGAAGAAGAAGGGGAACUUCAAAAAGAACGGCAAGCAAGUUGCUGCUCAAGAGAAGAAACCCAAGUCUGGACCUAAGCCUGAAACUGAGUGCUUCUACUGCAAGCAGACUGGACACUGGAAGCGGAACUACCCCAAGUAUUUGGCGGAUAAGAAGGAUGGCAAAGUGAACAAAUAUAUAUGUGAUAUACAUGUUAUUGAUGUGUACCUUACUAAUGCUCGCAGUAGCACCUGGGUAUUUGAUACUGGUUCUGUUGCUAAUAUUUGCAACUCGAAACAGGGACUAUGGAUUAAGCGAAGAUUAGCUAAGGACGAGGUGACGACACGCGUGGGAAAUGGUUCCAAAGUCGAUGUGAUCGCGGUCGGCACGCUACCUCUACAUCUACCAUCGGGAUUAGUAUUAGACCUAAAUAAUUAUUAUUUGGUGCCAGCGUUGAGCAUGAACAUUAUAUCUGGAUCUUGUUUGAUGCGAGACGGUUAUUCAUUUAAAUCAGAGAAUAAUGGUUGUUCUAUUUAUAUGAGUAAUAUCUUUUAUGGUCAUGCACCCUUGAAGAAUGGUCUGUUUUUAUUGAAUCUCGAUAGUAGUGAUACACAUAUUCAUAGUGUUGAAACCAAAAGAUGCAGAGUUGAUAACGAUAGUGCAACUUAUUUGUGGCACUGCCGUUUGGGUCAUAUCAGUGUAAAGCGCAUGAAGAAACUCCAUACUGAUGGACUUUUGGAAUCACUUGAUUAUGAAUCACUUGGUACUUGCGAACCGUGCCUUAUGGGCAAGAUGACUAAAACGCUGUUCUCCGGUACUAUGGAGAGAGCAACAGAUUUGUUAGAAAUCAUACAUACAGAUGUAUGUGGUCCAAUGAAUGUUGAAGCUCGUGGCGGAUAUCGUUAUUUUCUCACCUUCACAGAUGAUUUGACCAGAUUGGGUAUAUCUACUUAAUGAAACACAAGUCUGAAACAUUUGAAAAGUUCAAAGAAUUUCAGAGUGAAGUGGAAAAUCAUCGUAACAAGAAAAUAAAGUUUCUAUGAUCUGAUCGUGGAGGAGAAUAUUUGAGUUACGAGUUUGGUCUACACUUGAAACAAUGCGGGAUAGUCUCGCAACUCACGCCACCUGGAACACCACAACGAAAUGGUGUGUCCGAACGUCGUAAUCGUACUUUACUUGAUAUGGUGCGAUCUAUGAUGUCUCUUACCGAUUUACCACUAUCGUUUUGGGGUUAUGCUUUAGAGACGACCGCAUUCACGUUAAAUAGGGCACCAUCAAAAUCCGUUGAGACGACGCCUUAUGAACUAUGGUUUGGCAAGAAACCAAAGUUGUCGUUUCUUAAAGUUUGGGGCUGCGAUGCUUAUGUGAAGAAACUUCAACCAGAUAAGCUCGAACCCAAAUCGGAGAAAUGUGUCUUCAUAGGAUACCCAAAGGAGACUAUUGGGUACACCUUCUAUCACAGAUCUGAGGGCAAGAUUUUCGUUGCUAAAAUCAGAUGCUUUCUAGAGAAGGAGUUUCUCUCGAAAGAAGUGAGUGGGAGGAAAGUAGAACUUGAUGAGAUAACUGUAUCUACUCCCUUAUUGGAAAGUAGUUCAUCACAAGAACCGGUUCCUGUGACAACUACACCAAUCGGUGAGGAAGCUAAUGAUAUUGAUCAUGAAACUUCAGAUCAAGUUUCUACUGAACCUCGUAGGUCUACCAAAGUAAGAUCCGCACCAGAGUGGUACGGUAAUCCUAUUCUGGAAGUCAUGUUACUUGACCAUGAUGAACCUACGAACUAUGAGGAAGCGAUGAUGAGCCCAGAUUUCACAAAAUGGCUAGAAGCCAUGAAAUCUGAGAUGGGAUCCAUGUAUGAAAACAAAGUAUGGACUUUGGUUGACUUGCCCGAUGAUCGGCAAGCCAUUGAGAAUAAAUGGAUUUUUAAGAAGAAGACUGACGCUGAUGGUAAUGUAACUGUCUAUAAAGCUCGACUUGUUGCGAAAGGUUUUCGACAAGUUCAAGGGGUUGACUACGAUGAGACUUUCUCACCCGUAGCGAUGCUUAAGUCUGUCCGAAUCAUGUUAGCUAUUGCUGCAUUUCAUGAUUAUGAAAUUUGGCAAAUGGAUGUCAAAACUGCAUCCUUGAAUGGAUUUCUAGAAGAAGAGUUGUAUAUGAUGCAGCCAGAAGGUUUUGUUGAUCCAAAAGGUGCUAACAAAGUGUGCAAGCCCCAGCGAUCCAUUUAUGGACUGGUGCAAGCAUCUCGGAGUUGGAAUAAACGUUUUGAUAGUGUGAUCAAAGCAUAUGGUUUUAUACAGACUUUUGGAGAAGCCUGUAUUUACAAGAAAGUGAGUGGGAGCUCUGUAGCAUUUCUGAUUUUAUAUGUAGAUGACAUAUUAUUAAUUGGAAAUGAUAUAGAAUUUCUGGAUAGCAUAAAGGGAUACUUGAAUAAAAGUUUUUCAAUGAAAGACCUCGGUGAAGCUGCUUAGAUAUUGGGCAUCAAGAUCUAUAGAGAUAGAUCAAGACGCUUAAUAGGACUUUCACAAAGCACAUACCUUGACAAAAUUUUGAAAAAGUUCAAAAUGGAUUAGGCAAAGAAAGGUUUCUUGCCUGUGCUACAAGGUGUGAAGUUGAGUCAAACUCAAUGCCCGACCACAGCAGAAGAUAGAGAGAAAAUGAAAGAUGUUCCCUAUGCUUCAGCCAUAGGCUCUAUCAUGUAUGCAAUGCUGUGUACCAGGCCUGACGUAUGCUUAGCAAUAAGCUUGGCAGGAAGGUACCAAAGUAAUCCAGGAGUGGAUCACUAGACAGCGGUCAAGAACAUCCUAAAAUACCUGAAAAGGACUAAGGAUAUGUUUCUCGUAUAUGGAGGUGACAAAGAGCUAGUCGUAAAUGGUUACGUCGAUGCAAGCUUUGACACUGAUCCGGACGAUUCUAAAUCGCAAACCUGAUACGUAUUUUUAUUAAACGGUGGAGCUGUAAGUUGGUGCAGUUCUAAACAAAGCGUCGUGGCGGGAUCUACAUGUGAAGCGGAGUACAUAGCUGCUUCUGAAGCGGCAAAUGAAGGAGUCUGGAUGAAGGAGUUCAUUUCUGAUCUAGGUGUCAUACCUAGUGCAUCGGGACCAAUGAAGAUCUUCUGUGACAAUACUGGUGCAAUUGCCUUGGCAAAGGAAUCCAGAUUUCACAAGAGGACCAAGCACAUCAAGAGACGCUUCAAUUCCAUUCGGGACCAAGUCCAAGUGGGAGACAUAGAGAUUUGCAAGAUACAUAUGGAUCUGAAUGUUGCAGACCCGUUGAUUAAGCCUCUCUCACGAGCAAAACAUGAUUAGCACCAAGACUCCAUGGGUGUUAGAAUCAUUACUAUGUAAUCUAGAUUAUUGACUCUAGUGCAAGUGGGAGACUGAAGGAAAUAUGCCCUAGAGGCAAUAAUAAAGUUAUUAUUUAUUUCCUCAUAUCAUGAUAAAUGUUUAUUAUUCAUGCUAGAAUUGUAUUAACCGGAAACAUGAUACAUGUGUGAAUACAUACACAAACAUAUAGUCACUAGUAUGCCUCUACUUGACUAGCUCAUUAAUCAAAGAUGGUUAUGUUUCCUAACCAUAGACAUGUGUUGUCAUUUGAUUAAUGGGAUCACAUCAUUAGGAGAAUGAUGUGAUUGACAUGACCCAUCCCGUUAGCCUAGCACUUGAUCGUUUAGUAUUCUGCUAUUGCUUUCUUCAUGACUUAUACAAGUUCGUGUAACUAUGAGAAUUAUGCAACUCCCGUUUACUUGAAGAACACUUUGGGUACUACCAAACGUCACAACGUAACUGGUUGAUUAUAAAGGAGUACUACAGGUGUCUCCGAAGGUACAUGUUGGGUUGGCGUAUUUCGAGAUUAGGUUUUGUCACUCCGAUUGUCGGAGAGGUAUCUCUGGGCCCUCUCGGUAAUGCACAUCACUAUAAGCCUUGCAAGCAAUAUGACCAAUGGGGUGGUUACGAGAUGAUGCAUUACAGAACGAGUAAAGAGACUUGCCGGUAACGAGAUUGAACUAGGUAUUGGAUACCGACGAUUGAAUCUCGGGCAAAUAACAUACCGAUGACAAAGGGAACAACGUAUGUUGUUAUGCGGUUUGACCGAUAAAGAUCUUCGUAGAAUAUGUAGGAACCAAUAUGGGCAUCCAGGUCCCGCUAUUGGUUAUUGACCAAGAAUGGUUUUAGGUCAUGUCUACAUAGUUCUCGAACCUGUAGGGUCCGCACGCUUAACGUUUCGAUGACAGUUUUAUUAUGAGUUUAUAAGUUUUGAUGUACCGAAGUUUGUUCGGAGUCCUGGAUGUGAUCACGGACAUGACGAGGAGUCUCGAAAUGGUUGAGACAUAAAUAUUGAUAUAUUGGACGACUAUAUUCAGACACCGGAAUUGUUCUGGGUGAUUUCGUAGAAAACCGGAGUGCCGGGGGGGUUACCGGAACCCCCCGGGAGAGUAUUGGGCCUUAUGGGCCUUAGGGGAAAGGAGAGAGGGGCGGCCAGCAUGGGCCGCGCGCCCCCUCCCCCCUCUGGUCCGAAUUGGACUAGGAGGGGGGGGGCGGCGCCCCCCCUUUCCUUCCCCCUCUCCCCCUUCCUUCCCCUUCCUAGUAGGAGUAGGAAAGGAGGAGUCCUACUCCUACUAGGAGGAGGAUUCCUCCUCCCUUGGCACGCCCAAAGGGGCCGGCCGGCCUCCCCCCUUGCUCCUUUAUAUACGGGGGCGGGGGGCACCCCAGAUACACACAAGUUGAUCUACGGAUCGUUCCUUAGCCGUGUGCGGUGCCCCCUCCACCAUAUUCCACCUCGGUCAUAUCGUCGCGGAGUUUAGGCGAAGCCCUGCGCCGGUAGAACAUCAUCAUCGUCACCACACCAUCGUGCUGACGGAACUCAUCUCCGGAGCUCGGCUGGAUCGGAGGCCGGAGAUCGUCAUCGAGCUGAACGUGUGCUGAACUCGGAGGCCCCGUACGUUCGGUGCUUGGAUCGGUCGGAUCGUGAAGACGUACGACUACAUCAACCGUGUUGUGCUAACGCUUCCGCUUACAGUCUACGAGGGUACGUGGAUGAACACUCUCCCCUCUCGUUGCUAUAUCAUCACCAUGAUCUUGCGUGUGCGUAGGAUUUUUUUUUGAAAUUACUACGUUGCCCAACAGUUAGGGGUUGAGACGCUUCAUCAUUACUUUCAUGGUAUCAGAGCAUGUCCCUUCCACCACAUCUAACCUUCAUCGAUCUCCCAAAACCCACCUCGCUGCCAUGUCUACCUCCACCACUCCGUCUCCUCCGGCCACAACUACAACGUCUCUGAGCCACUCACCCGGACGAACUACGUCCUUUGGCGAGCCCUUGGGCGAUCCUAGAUAAUGGCCGCUGGCCUGUAUGGCUACAUCGACCAAACCAUGGCAGAACCUUCCAAGCUCAUCACAACCAAGGACAAGGACGACAAGGACCAGGUGAUCACCAAUCCUGCAUAUGCCCCCUGGUUAGUCCAAGAUCAACAUAUUGUUGCAUAUCUCCUUCAAAAUCUCUUCAAGGAGGUGCUGAUUCAAGUAGCAUCGAUGGAAACAUCGUAUGCGAUCUGGACGGCUCUAAGCAACAUGUUCUCCAUCGUCUCACUGUCCCGCGUCAACAACAUUCGUGUCUCCCUCACCAACGCCCAGAAGGGCAACCAGCCAGCGGUGACCUACUUCGGGCACAUGUGUGCUCUCUCUGUUGAGCUUGCGGCGGCAGGCAAACUGAUCAAGGAGGACGAGCUGGUGCCAUUCAUCCUCGCGGGGCUUGACAUGGAGUAUCAGCCCAUCAUUUCCGCCUGGGACGCACACACUGAUCCAGUCACCGUCGAGAACCUCUUCUCCAUGGUAGCCAAUUUUGACCAGCGUGUCGAGAUAUUCCAUGUGACAGGCGCCGGCAACUUCAAGUCCUCCGCGAACCUUGGUUCUCACGGUCGCUAGGGAUCCCACAAGGGUUCCCGCAGUCAGCAGAAGGGUGGUGGCGGCAGCGGAUCUCGCACUGGUGGCGGCGGCUACAACAACAACAGUGGUGGUGGCGGCGGCCACUACGGCGGCAACGGCGGCCACUACGGUGGUGGUGGUGGCUACCAUCAUCAGGGAAACAACUGAUACGUCAAUUUUGCAUCAUGUUUUCCUACUGUUAUUUAUAAUGUUUUAUGCAUAAUAAUGCUUUUUGGAAUAAUUCUAAUGCCUUUUCUCUGAUAACAUGCAAGGUUCACACAAAGAGGGAGAAUACCGGCAGCUGGAAUUCUGGACAUGAAAAAGCUACGCCAGGCCACCUAUUCUGCACAACUCCAAAUGAGCUGAAACUUCACGGGGAUUUUUUAGGGAAUAAAUAAGAAUUAUUGGAGCAAAUAACUACCAGAGGGGGCCCACCAAGUGGGCACAACCCACCUGGGCGCGCCAGGGAGCCCAGGCGCGCCCUGGUGGGUUGUGCCCUCCUCAGCCCACCUCCAGUGCCCAUCUUCUGGUAUAUAAGUCAUUUUUACCUAUAAAAAGAGGAGAGGCCUUUCGGGACGAAGCGCCGCUGUCUCGAGAAAAAUUAGUAGAACUUCCUCUUCGGAAUAGAAAUUGGCUAUUUCUCCAUAGGGAAAGUCGUGUGCAAUGAAAAAUGCAAGCACGAUUUGGGGAGGGAUUUUUCUCUAUUGUAACAAGGAAGAAUUAUCUACUCCAUCCGACUAGUUCCGGAUUCGUGUCCCGGGGAACCCAUAUAGAAAAGACCCAUCAAAGUUUUUAACUUUGACUCACUUCAUUUACAAAUACAAAAUUAUUGGUUUGGUUAAUUUAGGGAACUUGGGCAUGAGCACUUUUGCCCUCCGGCAAAGCGAUUCCGCCGGGGAACUUCCCUCCCGGAGGGGGAAAUCAUCGUCAUCAUCAUCACCAACAACUCUCCCAUCUUGGGGAGGGCAAUCUCCAUCAACAUCUUCAACAACACCAUUUCCUCUCAAACCCUAGUUCAUCUCUUGUGUUCAAUCUUUGUACCAGAACUAUAGAUUGGUACUUGCGGGUGACUAGUAGUGUUGAUUACAUUUUGUAGUUGAUUGCUAUAUGGUUUAUUCGGUGGAAGAUUAUAUGUUCCCAUUAUGUUAUUUAAUACCCCUUUGAUCUUGAGCAUGGUUAUCAUUUGUGAGUAGUUACUUUUGUUCUUGAGGUCACGGGAGAAAUCUUGUUGCAAGUAAUCAUGUGAACUUGAUAUGUGUUCAAUAUUUUGAUGGUACGUAUGUGGUGAUUACCUUAGUGGUGUCAUGCGAACGUCGACUACAUGACAAUUCACCAUAUUUGUGCCUAAGAGAAUGAAUUGUGGAGUAGUUAUUAGAUGAUGGGUUUCGAGAGUGAUCGAAGCUUAAACCCUAGUUUAUGCACUAUUCCGUAAGGGACUCAUUUGGAUCCAAAAGUUUAAUGCUAUGAUUAGAUUUAUUCUUAGUACUUUUCUCGUAGUUGCGGAUGCUUGUGAGGGGGUUAAUCAUAUGUAGGAGGCUUGUUCAAGUAAGAACAACACCUAAGAAUCGGUCCACCCACAUAUCAAAUUACCAAAGUAGCGAACACAAAUCAAACCAACAUGAUGAAAGUGACUAGAUGAAAUUCCCGUGUACCCUCAAGAACGCUUUGCUUAUCAUAAGAGACAGUUUUGGCCCGUCCUUUACCUCAAAAGGAUUGGGCUACCUAUCUGCACUUUUGUUACCUUUACCGUUACUUGCUCGUUACAAAUUAUCUUGCUAUCAAACUACUCGUUACUUAUAAUUUCAGUGCUUGCGGAAAAUACCUUGCUGAAAACUACUUGUCAUUUCCUUCUGCUCCUCGUUGGGUUUGACACUCUUACUUAUCGAAAGGACUACGAUUGAUCCUCUGUACUUGUGGGUCAUCAAGGCUCUUUUCUGGCGCCGUUGCCGGGGAGUGAAGCGCUCUUGGUAAGUGAAAAUCGGUAAGGAAAAUUUAUUACAACGUGCUGAAAUUUAUUGUCACUUGUUACUAUGGAGAACAAUCCUUUGAAGGGUUUGUUAGGGGUAUCUUCACCUUGACCGGAACCACAAUUAGUUACCCCUCAACCUGCUGCACCUACUGAAAAUAUUGGUUAUGAAAUCCCUUCGGGUAUGAUAGAACAACUGCUAGCUAAUCCUUAUGCAGGAGACAGAACCAAACAUCCUGAUAUGCACUUGAUAUAUGUGGAUGAAAUUUGUGGAUUAUUUAAGCUUGCAGGUUUACCUAGAGAUGAAUCUAAGAAGAAGGUUUUCCCUUUAUCUUUGAACGGAAAAGCAUUGGCAUGGUAUAGGCUAUGCGAUGAUAUUGGAUCCUGGAAUUGGAAUCGAUUGAAAUCAGAAUCACGCAAAAAUUUAUCCUGUGCAUCUAGUUCAUCGUUACCGGAAUUAUAUAUAUAAUUUUUGUCCUCGCGAAGGAGAAAGUAUCGCUCUAGCUUGCGGGAGGCUUAAGUCAAUGUUAUAUUAAUGCCCCAAUCAUGAUCUCUCAAGAGAAAUUAUUAUUCAGAAUUUUUAUGCUCGGCUUUCUCAUGAUGAUCGAUCCAUGCUUGAUACUUCUUGUACUGGUUCCUUUGUGAAGAAGACUAUUGACUUCUGGUGGGAUCUUUUAGAAAGAAUUAAAUGCAACUCUGAAGAUUGGGAACUCGAAGAAGGUAAGGAGUCAGGUAUUAAGCUUAAGUAUGAGUGUGUUAAAUCUUUUAUGAAUACCGAUGCUUUUCAAAAGUUUAGCACUAAAUAUGGACUUGACUCUGAGAUAGUAGCCUCCUUUUGUGAAUUAUUUGCUACUCAUGUUGAUCUCCCUAAGGAGAAGUGGUUUAAAUAUCACCCACCUAUUAAAGAAGAAAUUAAAGAAUCGAUAAUAGCUAAAGAUGAAACUAUUAUCUAUAAUGUUGAUCCAGUUGUUCCUGCUGCUUAUAUUGAAAAACCACCUUUCCCAGUUAGGAUAAAGGAACAUGCUAAAGUUUCAACUGUGGUCAACAAAAGUUAUAUUAGAACUUCCAAACCUGAUGAACAAAUCAAAGUAGAACCUAGUGUUGCUAUGGUUAAAUAUCUCUUGGUAUAAAAUAUGGGUCAUUUACAUUUGUGCCCCUAACUCGAACCCACUACUCAUAUAUGCCCCUAACUUCGAAGCAUGCUCAAAUUUGCCCCUAUGCCAUUAAGUGGCCUUACAGAAAUGCCCUUCCGCUCCGUUUCCGUCUGGUCAAAGGCCUUUGACCAUUUACCCGACAUUUUCUGGACAAUUUGCCCCUCCUGAGAGCUGGGCCCUUUCACUAAAAAACUCUCUCUCACCUCUCUCUCUGUAUCACUUACACGUGGGGCUACAAAAAAGAAAAUAAAAAAUAUCUCCCACCUCUAUCUCUCCCUCCCUCGUGGCAUCUCUCACCUCCGGUGAACCACAGGCCCUGGCCUGGCCGCCGCCGCUGCUGCUAGCUCACCUGGCGCUGCCGCUGGCCUCCCUUGAUGCUGCCCCUCACCUCCCCCGAGGCCUUCAUUCUCUCUCCCGCCCUCUAAACUCUCCCGCAAGCACGCCGGAGAGCGCGUCAUCGCCGUCGCCGGUCACUCACGUGGCCAACUGCAACCCCAAGCACGACCACCUCUCUAGGAAGCCCCUAUGAGAUGCCCUCAUCAUCUUAGCCUACGAAUUUGGCCAGAGAAGUUAAGGACCAAGCGCCAUGAUGCUGUUGGAAAUAUGCCCUAGAGGCAAUAAUAAAAGAUUAUUAUUAUAUUUUCUUGUUCAUGAUAAUUGUCUUUAUUCAUGCUAUAAUUGUAUUAUUCGGAAAUCGUAAUACACGUGUGAAUACAUAGACCAUAAUAUGUCCCUAGUAAGCCUCUAGUUGACUAGCUCGUUGAUCAACAGAUAGUCAUGGUUUCCUGACUAUGGACAUUAGAUGUCGUUGAUAACGGGAUCACAUCAUUAGGAGAAUGAUGUGAUGGACAAGACCCAAUCCUAAGCAUAGCACAAGAUCGUGUAGUUCGUUUGCUAGAGCUUUUCCAAUGUCAAGUAUCUUUUCCUUAGACCAUGAGAUCGUGUAACUCCCGGAUACGUAGGGGUGCUUUGGGUGUACCAAAGGUCACAACAUAAUUGGGUGACUAUAAAGGUGCACUACAGGUAUCUCCGAAAGUGUCUGUUGGGUUGACACGGAUCGAGACUGGGAUUUGUCACUCCGUAUGACGGAGAGGUAUCUCUGGGCCCACUCGGUAAUGCAUCAUCAUAAUGAGCUCAAAGUGACCAAGUGUUUGGUCACAUGAUCAUGCAUUAUGGUACGAGUAAAGUGACUUGCCGGUAACUAGAUUGAACAAGGUAUUGGGAAUACCGACGAUCGAAUCUCGGGCAAGUAACGUACGGAUUGACAAAGGGAAUUGUAUACGGGGUUUCUUAAAUCCUCGACAUCGUGGUUCAUCCGAUGAGAUCAUCGUGGAACAUGUGGGAGCCAACAUGGGUAUCCAGAUCCCGCUGUUGGUUAUUGGCCGGAGAGCUGUCUUGGUCAUGUCUGCAUUAUUCCCGAACCCGUAGGGUCUACACACUUAAGGUUCGGUGACGCUAGGGUUAUUAGGAAGACUUGUAUGUGUGAUUACCGAAUGUUGUUCGGAGUCUCGGAUGAGAUCCCGGACGUCUCGAGGAGUUCCGGAAUGGUCCGGAGGUGAAGAUUUAUAUAUGGGAAGUUGUCAUACGGUCACCGGAAAGUUUCGGGGGCAUAUCGGUAUUGUACCGGGGCCACCGGAGGGGUUCCGGGGGUCCACCGGGAGGGGCCACCUCUCUCGGAGGGCCUCAUGGUCCAAAGUGGGCAGGGAACCAGCCCCUGGAGGGCUGGGCGCCCCCCCCCUUGGGCCCAUGCGCCUAGGGUUGGGGGGGAAACCCUAGUGGGGGCGCCCUCCUUGCUUGGGGGGCAAGCCCCCUCCCUUGGCCGCCGCCCCCCUCUAGAUCUCAUCUAGAUGGGGCCGGCCCCCUUCCCCCUUCCCCUAUAAAUAGAGGGGCGAGGGGAGGGCUGCAUACAACAUCCAAGGCGCAGCCCCUCCCCUCCCCAACACCUCUCCUCCUCCGUUAAGAGCUUGGCGAAGCCCUGCUGGAGUACUGCCUCUCCACCACCCCACACUGUCGUGCUGCGGCUGGAGCCUUCUUCCUCAACCUCUCCUUCCCCCUUGCUGGAUCAAGAAGGAGGAGAUGUCAUACGCUCCGUACGUGUGUUGAACGCGGAGGUGCUGUCCGUUCGGCACUUGGUCAUCGGUGAUUUGGAUCACGGCGAGUACGACUCCAUCAUCCCCGUUCUCUUGAACGCUUCUGCUCGCGAUCUACAAGGGUAUGUAGAUGCACUCCUAUCACUCGUUGCUUAGAUGAACUCAUAGAUGGAUCUUGGUGAAACCGUAGGAAAAUUUUUAUUUUCUGCAUCGUUCCCCAACAGUCUUCCCCACCUCCGGCCUCGGACCGCGCCAUCGAUUCGGCGCCGUUGAAGCUCCGCGACCGGUCCCCGAGCCGCAGCGGCGCGGCCAUCGUCCUUGUAGUGAUCUCCGUCGCCUAGGCACACGGCCACCCUCUCCCUCUUGCACUACAGCUUCCCCGCCUGCGCCACCAGAGCCGCCGUGAGAACGGUCGCCGCCGUUAGCUCCCGCAACCAUAUGGCCCUAAGAGACCAACCCUGGACGCGGCUGAGCCAAGGCUACCGCCUGGUUCCCUGAGCUGGCCUCCUCUUGGCCUCCCGGCGUGCCUCCGCCGCUGGAUUUGGUCGCCGUCGGCAUCCCUCGAAGGGAUUAGUUUAGGGGGCAUUAGUUUAAUGAUGUUUUGUGAAUUAGUUUCAUGAUCUUUUUGUCUGGCUGAGCAGUGGACCCACCCUUAGUUAACACAAUAUAUUUCAAAUAAUAAUAAUAAUAAUAAUAAUAAUAAUAAUAAUACAAUGACAUGUGGGCCCUAUGUCUAGUUUGGCCGGUCCUUAUCUAGUUUUUUCAUCGGUUGGGGCCCACAUGUAAGUGUGUGUGAGAGAGGGGGUGAGAGAAAGUGUUUCUGCUCUUAUUUUGUUUCGAGUGGGUCCUGCACGUAAGUGACACAUGGAUGCAGGGGAAAAUUGUCCAGAAAACGUUAGGUAAACGGUCAAACCCCUUUGAACGGACGGAAACGGAACGGAAGGGCAUUUCUGUAAGGUCACUUAACGGCAUAGGGGCAAAUUUGAGCAUGCUUCGAAAUUAGGGGCAAAUCUGAGUAGUGGGUUCGAGUUAGGGGCACAAAUGUAAAUGACCCAUAAAAUAUAGAUCGGCAUGUUAUUUACUUAUGUGAUGAAGCUGCUAGAAUUGCCAAACCCGAUGAAAAAGAUAAACAUAGACCAGUUGUUGGCAUGCCUGUUGUCUCGGUCAAAAUACGAGAUCACUGUUAUCAUGGUUUAUGUGACUUAGGUGCUAGCGUGAGUGCUAUUCCUUUCACCCUAUAUCAAGAAAUUAUUAAUGAUAUAGCACACGCCGAAAUAGAAGACAUAGAUGUUACUAUUAAACUUGCUAAUAGAGACCAUCACACCACUUGGGAUUGUUAGAUAUGUUGAAGUCUUGUGUGGGAAAAUAAAAUACCCUACUAAUUUGCAGGUUCUUGGUUCCCCACAAGAUGCCUUUUUGUCACAGCCUGAUUUUUGGCCCUUUCUUGUUCUUUUGAUUUUCUGAGAUUUUUUGCUUGAGUUUUCUUUUUCCAUGGCUGUGUGGUCUGGAAAUUGAAGAAGAUGACCUCUUCUUCCUUUCCAGAGUGGCUUGUCAUCCCCAAAUCCAUCCCUAGACCUUGCCAUUUCCAUCUUGGACCAACCCUAAUAUUCUUUUUCUAGGAAAUAUUCCUUUUUCUGUUAAAGGAAUAAUCCUUUUUGCCCUAGGUUGUGAACCAACCUAUAUUUUCAUCACUCGUAAAAUUCCCAAAUAUUCUCAUAAAUUUUUUGGGUCAUAUCUUCCUCAAAUGUGGCAAAAUAUUUCACUUGCCAUGUUUCCCAUCAUGCUCAAUUAUUUCAUUUCCUAUUUUGUCCUAAAUGGCACUUUGUGAAGCAAGUGCUACUUAUCUUUUCCCAAUUGACUCCAAACUUCUUGGACAUCUUUUCAUGUCCAUAUCAUUGCCACAUGCCAAAAUUCAACCUCAUUUGCCUAGUAAUUAUUUAUCAAUGAUUUUCCAAAGUUUCUGUCUAGAAAGAAACUUUGUGAAGGAGGUACAAGCUAGGCAUAUCUGAAUGAGGUGAAAUUUAUGCAUGACCUCAGUACCAUCAUAUCAUAGCUCUCCACCAAAUUUGAGCUCAUGUAAUGCCUCCAUGUAAGCUCAUAUUCAAUUAUUUGUUUCUGUCCAAAUUUUCAGUUUAUGAAGCAAGUGUAUUUUAUGUUGCUUCACUAUGGCUGAAACUUUUCCAGGACCUUCUCCUAUCCGUAUAACCUAUCCCCGCCAAUUUUGGGAUCAAUUCAUCAAGACAUUAUUCCUCUAGAAUUUUCUCAAGUUACUGUCCAGAGGAGAUGUUUGUGAAGCAAGUACCAUUUUGGUUUAUCCAAUUGGCAUGAAAUUUUUGCAGCAUCUUCAUAUGGCCAGAUAACCUUGACAUGCCAAAUUUCAGCUCAAGUGGCUUCUUCAUUUGAGUGCAUCAUCAUGAUCUUGAUUCUGGACCAUUUUGGUCAGUUCCAAAGCAAGUGUAUUAAUCCCUGACCCAAAUCCCUCCAAACUUCACAGAACUAGAGUCCUUCCUAUCCUAAACCUCCCAGACAACUGAUUUGGCCCUUACCAUCUCUCUGUUGAUCACAUUGGCUUGAUCAAGUUUGCAACAGUAAACUUUAGAAGGCCAUUACCACUCAAACAAUUUGUCUUUAAUCGAGUAACCACCUCAGUUGCAGCCUCCACUGGAGGGACUAAACCCCAGACAAUGUUUGCCUGCUUGUUGCCUUCUCUUCAUGCCAGUCUGGGCGGUGACCAUCAUUUUCGCACGCACUGGCCGCGUCCAGAAUGUCGUCUUGCUCGGGCCCCUCUCCUGCUUGUCGUCUCAACGAGCGCGGGCGUGUCUACCAGCUCACCCGCGUCGUCGCCAUCCUCUUGGACCUCUCUCCCCCUCCGGAAACCUCCUCGCUGGCGAUCGUCGUCGCGCGCCCACGGGAAACCUGUAGCCGACCGUCUCUGUUUGCGCCGUGGCUUCUUCCACCUCGUGUCCCCGAGUGCCGCUCGUCUCCGUGAGCCUCUGCCACUCGUCCGCUUCCUUCUCGUGCCUCCCCGUGACUUCUGCGGCUGACAGAGCGUUGGUCGGAUCCCGCGACGACACCCGAGCUCACCCUCCCUCGCUCGGCUGUAUAUAGCCAUCCCCGGCCUCAUCCAAGCACAUCAACAGCCUCCCCUCACUCCUAGGACCCUGCCCAGCCUCUCGCCCGAGCUCCAGAGUCCGUCCUCGCCUACCAUUACCGCCAUGGCCGCCGCCUCGGCUCGCCUAAAUUGCCUCGAUGCCGGUCUCCCUCCCCCCUCAUUUCACCACCAGUAAACCCCCACCACUCCGGCGCUCCUCCCCAUCCCCUCAGUGAGUCACCGGAGCCCUUGUUGCUGCCGCCCCCAAGAUCGGCUGUCGCCCCUACUUUCGGUUGCCGCACAUCACCGCCGUCCCAGCCCUUCUCCGGCGCUAGUUUUCACCCUGGAUGGAUGCAGCUCCCUCUCCCGAGCACUUCGGUGGCCGGAGCUCCACCGGAGGCAGCCGAGUCGCCCGGGCCAGCUCCAGCACCGCGCGCCAUGCCUCCGCCUCGUGGGCGCGAGCGAGGUAGAAGACGACCACGGCCCAGGCGGGCCCCGCGUCGCCCCCGUCCCCACCAGUCAGCCGCACGGCAUUGACUCGCCCUGCCAUGUCGGAUUAAGUGGAAGCGUAAUUCCCAACUUUACACUUUCUUCUUCUGGAAACGUAUUCUCUGCUUCUUCAGUGGAGUUUAGAUUUUCUUCUUCCGAAAAUGUAUUCUUAGUAAUAUGCUUUCUGGUUUUCAGCAGCCGGCCGAAUCUGCUAGUUUGUGAACGUUCACUGCUUUAGCGUAUUUUCUGCCUAAAAAGUGAACGGCCACAAAUUUAGGCUCGAGACUCCGAUUGAGGUGAAUGUGAAUCCAAAGCCCACGUCUUCGUCUUCUCGAGCCCGUUCUCUUCCCAUAAUUUUCACUAUGGUUUGACAUACUGGAAAUGAUCAUUUUGCCCUUGCCCCUAAUCAGCCCCCUCUAAGAGAGAAUCUUUUCCGCUGAAUCUUUUCGCGGCCUCACAGCACUUCUUCCCAGAGCUUUCUUCAUCCCCAGGCAAGCCACAACACCCACUUGCAUGAUGGCCAUGCAGUAGCCAUGGUUUUCAACUUGAACACUUAAUAAUUGUCUGUUUGUUUAUCUGCAACUAUUAUCGUUGUUUCCGUACUACUUAUGGUUUCAUGUUCAUCUUCGUGCUAUGUUUCGAUGCAUCUAGUUAUCUUGUGUUCUUGCUAGCAUUACUUUUGUAUGUCAUGCUUAGUAGUAGUACAUGCUGGUGUUGGAAGUGUGCUUCGGUGCAUGACUAUCGUCUAUUAUCGAGUACCGUGGUUAUGCAUGUUCCAUUGCAUCUAGCUGGUUACAUGAUUACUUGAGGUGUUAUCUCACUCUGUGCGUUCGUUUUACAUGGUUCGGUUUGUACGGUAUUAAUACUUCAGUAAAUACGGUUUGGUUUCGGUAUAUACUAAAUUAUUUCGGUAUGGUUUCGGUAUAUACCAUAAUAACAAAAGUUGACGCGAAUUUGAAAAUGACGCCGUAACAAUUUACAAAUUUUUAUUUUGGUUUAUUCGGUUAACCAUUCGGUUUUUGGGUAUAUACCAUAAAACCAAAGUUUAAAACGGUAUAAAAAGUUCGUACCGUACCAAAACAAGAAACCAUAAAAACCAUAAAAUUGGUUCGGUUUGGUUUAUUUUCGGUAUGGUUUUUCGGUUCAGUUUCAAAAUGCACAGAGUGAGUGUUAUCGCUAUAUUCUUGCAUGGUAUUUACUUCUGAUGCUAGUGGUUAUGCUAUGCUUAUGAGUAGUGUUAUGCUUGUGAUAUUCAUGCUCGUUAGUAUGCCAUGCUCAUCUGGAUAAAUGAUUCACUGUUGUAUGCUUAAGGUUUAUGUUGCAUCCAUGUUUAUGUUGGUAUCAUGCAUAUUGUUGCAUCAUGUUAUUUUCAUAUGACUCAACUUAUUGCAUUCAAGUUUAACCAGACUUAAUUGAACUUGAACAACUUUUGGCUGAGUCAUGGUGCCACCAUAUCGAGCUGACUAGUGCUGCCACAUUUGCCUUUUAUGGGAAAGGUCCUAACAGGGUCUAUUGUCCUCCCUCUCGCUGGUGCCUCCAACCAGGGAAGGUUAUGCGCGAGCGCUACCUUGGCCGGGUAGGACGACAUAAGCCGUGUGUUAAAUCUAUCGAUAGCCGCGCCCGCGGAUAUGGGCCCAGUUCGUAAUUGGUCACACUAUGGGUCAACAGUAAUAAAAAUGAUGUGCUUAAUGACAACCCUGGUUCGAUGAUGAAAGAAGUUGGUUGAUUUUUAUGUGAUUGUGAGAGAAUCACCAUGGUAUCGAGGAUACCAAGUUGUUGGAUAUUUGUGGUGUUAUGCGAGCAUCAUGGGUAAAGUUCAAGCUCCUUGUGGUCAUGUAAUGAUUACUACGAUAUUGUUUAUACCAAGAUUGAUUGGAUCCUAAGAUGGUCAUGUCGUGUUCGCGGUGGUAAGUGAUGCGUGAGAUGGUUACGAGGUAACCCGAGCAGAGUAAGUUGGUGCAUGAUAGUGUCAUCAUGUUGCAUGCUAGUUUCAUCUUGAUUUUAUGUUCAUGCCAUGCUCAUAUUGUUCUAGUGGUAUCAUGUUCAUUUUGUUCAUGCUAUAAUUGAUCUGAUAAUAUCAUGUUAAUCCUUGUUAACCUGUAAUUGCCAUGCUGUUGUUUGUCUUCAUUGCUCUUGGUUACUGUGAGCUUGCAAGUACAUUCAAUGUACUGACCUGGCGUGUCAUGCCAGUUUGCAGGUCAAGCCAAAUUUGAUUGCUUGUUCGCCGUGGAUUCCUUGUUUGCGAGCUAGGAUAAGCGUUCCAGCCAGAGUCCCUGCGGAGUGGAGUUCACCACCAUCGUCGAUGUUCCGCUGCCAAUAGUUAUUCCGCUGCUUCGUGUUGUUCUAUUGUUUGCAUAGGCAACCACGGCAUGCAUAGUGUCGCAGUGCCGAUGUAAUCCCCUUGUACCCAAAUAGAUUGUAAUAAAGAGCUGAUUUGUUCUAUGCUAAGUAGUGUCAUAUUCCAGAAGACUUCUCCUCGAUCUCUGGGCUAGAAUAUGGGGCGUUCCGAUUUCUCUAUGCUGGGGUGCCACAACGCUUGGUAUCAGAGUAGGUCUGGAUGUAGGACGCCUUAGCCCGCGCGAUCAUUAGAAUGCGGUAGUAUAGAGUUUAGUUGGUUUGUUGCACUUGAUUGUUGCAUUUGUUUGUUGCAUAGCAUGCAUAUAGGCUCAAUUUCUUGUCACCAACGGUUAAUCUUGUGAGUGUAGGUGGCAUCAGUUUCGAUCCACUACCUGCACCCUCCUUCUUAGCAUGCCUGCUCUUUGGUGUUCGGCGUCAUCUCUGUCCUAGCAGAGUGAUGCCCUGGUGCUAAGUGUUCCAGACACCAUUUGCAGGAGUUAUGCUCGGAUAUCGCGUCGAUAUCUUUCCGCCACUCACCCAUAUCGUUUUGGUGAUAGACGUGUUUCUAUCCCGAAACGCGCCCUCCAUCUCGUCCCUUUGGCAACCCUUACUGAUCUUUGUUAUCAAAACAGGGCAAGGCCAUCGAUCCUUGCUUUUCCUCCCCCUAUCUUGUCCUGUCAUUCCAUUCUUUGUACGUGCAUGAUUCCCUUUCAUACGCUUGAUGAUGAUGUGGUCAUGACCUUUGUGUCUUGCUGCAUGAUCACCAUGUCCGUCCUCACCUCCAUAUUCGUCCAGUUGCAACCGGUGUUCAGCCAGUGCUUGGUGUAGCCUUGGUUACGCCAAAUCCUUCCACACAUGGAUUUCACUUUCGUGCACAUCCACAUCAUGUUAGAUCGUAAUACCAGAGCUUCUGCGAGAUUUGUGUGCUUAGGUGUGCAUGCAUAUUAUUGAUGUGAGUAGCAGUGAUAUGUGAUGAUUGCUUGAUAUUAUUUAUAUUAUUUGUAUGCUUGUGUGCUUUUGUUUUCGUUGUUUCUUUUGCUUCUUUCUUUGGGCCUUCGGUGUGCCAUAUUUCCCCCUUAUUAAAGUUGCUCGUCAACCAACACUAGACCCAAAGAAUCAGCAAGGAGUUCAAAUAUUUGGAAGCUCAGCUAAACGAAAUGAAGUUAUCAGCUGACUGAAGUGAAAUUGGGAAUAUCUCGUCUGAAUGCAAAUGAUAUCCUGGAUGGACUGUCAGUAUCAAGUUUGCAUUAGCGUGCACUCCUCACAACCGUACGAUAAUCCAGUCUACCUCAGUGUGCACUCUUCAUAGUAGUAAGGAUUAGAUCAGGAAGCAGAUAACACAAGACCAACAGUGCAUUAUCAGUCAAGGUAUGGUUCAGAUGCAAGGUUUGAUUCUUCGUUGAGGACAAUUUUGAAACAUGAUAUACCUGGAAGAAAGCAAGGAUGUGCCGUAUACUCAGAAAGAAGGAUAGUCCAGCAAACUCCGGUUCAUACAAGAAAUCAACAACAGAAAUAUUAAGAUGGUAUAUAUGUGUGGUAAUCGGUCUGCGUGUCACAAUGAGAAGCUUCUGGUGUAAGAAACCCAAUUUUCCCUUGCAAUCUACCAGAGAAGCUUCCAAGGCAAGAUUCCUCAGUAUGAUAUAUGGAUGACUUCCCGUGCAAGAUACUCCGCCUUCUUUAGUAAGAAACCGCAAAAGCUUUCGGCAUAAGGAACCGAGUCUUCCCUAGCAAGUCUUUAAGGGGGGGAGCUUCUGAAGCACGAUGUCUAGUCUUCCUCCGUAAGAUAGUCUGAUGGAUUCCAACAUAAGUCAUCCAAUGUUCCUCAGUACGGUAUCGAUACAAGAUAUUCCACUGUGAAUUGACAACCUUUGGCAAUGCAUCUCAAGAAUCAGAUCCGCAACAAUUUGGUCAGAAGCAAGAAUCAGUCAGAACACAAGUCUGCAUCAAGAGUCAGAUUCUCAUAUAUACCACCAAGGUAUUACAAGUCACUCGAACGAAGAUCUGACAGUCACAUGAGGAUUAUUAAAAGAAGGAAGCCAGCAGCGUGACGAAGGAUUAUGAAGAUUGACGACAACACUGAGCUCAGUACAAGUACCUGUGAACCUGGAAGAUGAUCCUGAUGAGCCCUUGUCUCCUUUUCUCCAGCGACGGCACCACGCUUGUGAUCUGAACUGUUUUUAGCUAUCCGGGGUGGAUGCCGAUUUUUAUUUAUCUAUUCAACAACUGUCACGAGUUCUGAGCUGCUUUCCGGCCGUCUCAUACAGUUGUUGAGUUUUUUUUGUGACAGUGGCCCUAUGAUUUUAGCUACUUUUCAGCUAUCUUAGGGAUCUGCCACUUUCUUCUUAUCGACCCGGUCUCAUGCUCUGAGCUACUUUUUGGCUGCCCUGAGCCGUGGUUGAGUUAUUUCAGUAAUGCCCCAGAUCUGAAAAACCAUUAUGGUGGCUACUGAGUUAUUUGCCAAUUUCUUGCAAGGAUUCGGAUAAUCAUUUCCCUAUAGUCAGAACUUGAGAGGUGAUGAACCUACCAUUUAAUGGGUAACCAUGUCAGAAGAUGAGGAGACGAGUAUGCCUGUCAGAAUAUUGCACCCGCCAGAACCUAUGGUCACACGAAGAAGAAAUAUGCCCUUGCUCAUUCAGCAAAGGAUCUGGAUCAAGAAAACAGUAAUGAAGGAGCAAGACUGAUAAUUGUUGCAAGACCCACAUGGUGCAGAUACCCAGGACAGUCUGAGUCAGUACCGAUCACCAUCAAUAUCCUCCAAAGGGAUCUACUCAAUUUUGGUAAGGACCCCAUAUCCAGACAACCCGCUUAGUCAAACAACAUGUGCUCAAAUUUGUCAGUAUCAAAUAUCUGAGUCUGUCAAAUCAGACCAAGGGGCCAUUCAACAGUUGACCCCGGCAACUAUGGUAAAGCAUCACACAGCCUACUAUCCCCAUGGACAUACCGACAGAAUGGGAAAUCAGAAUGUGAAUAACAGUCUGGAAGCAGGUGCCCUUACUUAUGUGAGUCACCAAAGGAUAUCCUGUCUGGAACAAAAAAAUUCCUCCAGAGCCACCGUCAGUCAAGGAUGAGGAUAUUAUAAUAUAAGGUCGUACCCCUUCAUGCUGGUCACGACAAGCGACAGUCAAAUAUUUGGAACAGAUCUGAUACUCUAGACAGUGGAGCCAGUCAUGAUGACUAAGAAAUUCCUGCAAUGUUAGAAUCUAUCAGGAAACUGGUUAUGCCUCAAUUCACUAGUUGGAACCCGAAGGACCUACUAUUAGCUGAGAAACCCAAUGCAAGCAGUCAGAGCUUGGGUGUUCAUCAGGAAAAUCUGAUCCCCACUUCAUGGAAGAUUGUCAGUACACACACAACCAUCGAGAAUCACCCUCGGAUUUGUGAGAUAGACAUAUAUUUCAGUCAUGGUAAUCUCAGUAUAAGCGUGAAUAUGUGAGGUAAGAUUUGUAGAAAUGUGGAUACAGUGAAGCAAACCACCCCAGAGCAAGUCAGGUAAGUCAGAUGAAGAAUUCAGUGGGAACAAUCAAUAAAGGGAAAAAGGAUACCCGAGUUGGAAACGGUUUCCUUAAGGUCAGAUAUAUUCAUACUUGUUCCCUAAGCAACCAAAUCUCGAGGACGAGAUUCUUUAAGGGGGAAGGUUUGUCACAGCCUGAUUUUUGGCCCUUUAUUUUCUGAGAUUUUUCCUUGAGUUUUCUCUUUCCGUGGCUGUGUGGUCUGGAAAUUGAAGAAGAUGACCUCUUCUUUCUUUCCAGAGUGGCUUGUCAUCCCCAAAUCCAUCCCUAGACCUUGCCAUUUCCAUCUUGGACCAACCCUAAUAUUCUUUUUCUAGGAAAUAUUCCUUUUUCUGUUAAAGGAAUAAUCCUUUUUGCCCUAGGUUGUGAAGCAACCUAUAUUUUCAUCACUCCUAAAAUUCCCAAAUAUUUCUCAUAAAUUUUUUUGAGUCAUAUCUUCCUCAAAUGUGGCAAAAUAUUUCACUUGCCAUGUUUCCCAUCAUGGUCAAUUAAUUCAUUUCCUAUUUUGUCCUAAAUGGCACUUUUUGAAGCAAGUGCUAUUUAUCUUUGCCCAAUUGACUCCAAACUUCUUGGACAUGUUUUCAUGUCCAUAUCAUUACCACAUGCCAAAAUUCAACCUCAUUUUCCAAGUAAUUGUUUAUCAAUGAUUUUCCAAAGUUUCUGUCUAGAAAGAAACUUUGUGAAGGAGGUACAAGCUAGGCAUAUCCAAAUGAGUUGAAAUUUAUGCAUGAGCUCAAUAUCAUCAUAUCAUAGCUCUCCACCAAAUUUGAGCUCAUGUCAUGCCUCCAUGUGAGCUCAUCUUCAAUUCUUUGUUUCUGUCCAAAUUUUCAGUUUGGGAAGCAAGUAUAUUUUAUAUUGCUUCACUAUGGCUGAAAAUUUUCCAGGACCUUCUCCUAUCCAUAUAACAUAUCCCCACAGAUUUUGGGAUCAAUUCAUCAAGCCAUUAUUCCUCUAGAAUUCCUCAAGUUUCUGUCCAAAGGAGAUGUUUUGAAGCAAGUACCAUUUUGGUUUAUCCAAUUGUCAUGAAAUUUUUACAGCAUCUUCAUAUGGCCAGAUAACCUUGACAUGCCAAAUUUCAGCUCAAGUGGCUUCUUCAUUUGAGUGCAUCAUCAUAAUCUUGAUUCUGGAUCAUUUUUGUCAGUUGCAAAGCAAGUGUAUUACUCCUUGACCCAAAUCACUCCAAACUUCACAAAACUAUAGUCCUUCCUAUCCUAAACCCCCAGACAACUUAUUUGGCCCUCAACAUCUCUCUGUUGAUCACAUUGGCUUGAUCAAGUUUGCAACAGUAAACUUCAAAAGGGCAUUACCACUUAAACAAUUGGUUUUUGAUUGAGUAACCACCUCAGCUGCAACCUCCACUGGAAGGACUAAAUCCCAGACAUUGUUUGCUAGAUUAUUGCCCCUCUUCAUUCCAGUCUGGGCGGUAACCACCAUUUUGGCACGCACUGGACGCGUUCAGAGCGUCGUCUUGCUUGAGCCCCUCUCCUCCUCGCCGUCUCAGCGAGCACGGGCGUGUCUACUAGCUCAACCGCGUCGUUGUCGUCCUCCUGGACCUCUCUCCCCCCCGGAAACCUCCUCGCUGGCGCUCGUCGUCGCGCGCCCACGGGAAACCUGUAGCCGUCCGUCUCUGUUCGCACCGUGGCUUCUUCAUCCUCGUGUCCCCGAGUGCUGCUCGUCUCCAUGAGCCUCUACCACUUGUCCGCUUCCCCCUCGUCGCCUUCUCGCGCCUCCUCGUGACUUCUGCGGCCAGCAGAGCAUUGGCCGGAUCCCCGCGGCGACACCCAAGCUCGCCCUCCCUCGCCCGGCUAUAUAUAGCCAUCCCCGGCCUCAUCCAAGUGCAUUAGCAUCCUCCCCUCACUCCCAGGACCCCGCCUAGCCUCUCGCCCGAGCUCCAGAGCCCCUCCUCGCCUUCCAUUGCCGCCGCCUCGGCUCGCCUAAAUUGCCUCGACGCCCGUCUCACCCCCCCUUCAUUUCACCACCAGUAGGCCCCCACCACUCUGGCGCUCCUCCCCAUCCCCUCAUCGAGUCGCUGGAGCCCUUGUUGCUGCCAUUCCCAAGAUCCGCUACCGCCCCUGCUUUCGGUUGCUGUGCAUUUCUGCCAUCCCAGCCCUUCUUCAGCGCUAGUUUUCACCCUUGAUGGAUGCGGCUCCCCUUCUCGAGCACUCCGGUGGUCGGAGCUCAACUGGAGGCAGCCGGAGUCGCCUGGGCCAGCUCCGGCGCCGCGUGUUGUGCCUCUGCGUCGCGGGUGCGAACAAGGUAGAAGACGACCAUGGUCCAGGCGGGCCCCAUGCUGCCCCCGUCCCCACCAGUCAGCCGCACGGCGUUGACUCGCCCUACCACGUCGGAUUAAGUGGAAGCGUAAUUCCCAACUUUAUGCUUUCUUCUUCUGGAAACGUAUUCUCCGCUUCUUCAGUGAAGUUUACGCUUUCUUCUUCCAAAAACGUAUUCUUAGUAAUACGCUUUCUAUUUUUCAGCAGCCGGCCGAAUCUGCUAGUUUGUGAACGUUCACUGCUUUAGCGUAUUUUCUGCCUAAAAAGUGAACACCCACAACUUUUUGCUCGAGACUCCGAUUGAGGUGAACCCAAUGCCCAUGUCUUCAUCUCUUCGAGCCUGUUCUGUUUCCUUAAUUUUCACUAUGGUUUGCCAUACUGGAAAUGACCAUUUUUCCCUUGCCCCUAAUCAGCCCCCUCUGAGAGAGAAUCUUGUCCGGCGAAUCUUUUCGCGGCUUCACCGCACUUCUUCUCGGAGCUUUCUUCAUCCCCAGGCAAGCCACAACACCCACUUGCAUGAUGGCCAUGUAGUAGCCAUGGUUUUCAACUUGAACAUUUAAUAAUUGUCUGUUUGUUUAUCUGCAACUAUUAUCGUUGUUUCGGUACUACCUAUGGUUUCAUGUUCAUCUUCGUGCUAUGUUUUGAUGCAUCUGGUAAUCUUGUGUUCUUGCUAGCAUUACUUUCGUAUGUCAUGCUUAGUAGUAGUAGUACAUGUUGGUGUUGGAAGUGUGCUUCGGUGCAUGACUAUCGUCUGUUAUCGAGUACCGUGGUUAUGCAUGUUCCAUUGCAUCUAGCUGGUUACAUGAUUACUUGAGGUAUUAUCGCUAUAUUCAUUCAUGGUAUUGAUGCUAGUGGUUAUGCAUGCUUAUGAGUAGUGUUAUGCUUGUGAUAUUCAUGCUUGUCUGUAUGCCAUGCUCAUCUGGAUAAAUGAUUCACUGUUGUAUGCUUAAGGUUUAUGUUGCAUCCAUGUUUAUGUUGGUAUCAUGCAUUAUUGUUGCAGCAUGUUAUUUUCAUAUGACUCAGCUUAUUGCAUUCAAGUUUAACCGUACUUAAUUGAACUUGAACAACUGUUGGCUGAGUCAUGGUGCCACCAUAUCGAGCUGACCAUUGCAGCCACAUUUGCCUUUUAUGGGAAAGGUCCUAACUAGGUCUAUUGUCCUGCCUCUCGCCGGUGCCUCCAACGAGGGAAGGUUAUGCGCGGGCGCUACCAUGGCCGGGUAGGACGACAUAAGCCUUGUGUGCCCGUAGUUGUUGUAGCCGGCUUGUCCCCGUUUGGUACCAUUUAUUGUUUUGCCACGACGGUGGCCGCUGAUGCCUUUGUUAGCCACGGGGCCACCCAUGACUUAGUCCCGAGGGGAGUUGGUCGGAGUGGCCGGGAGAGUGUCAUGGCAGUAGAGCGAUUUUGUCGGAAUGCCAUUGGUCCACCCGAAUGGGAGCGUGAGGCCAUGGGUUCUGUGGUGUGGGUACAGUGUGCUACCUCUGCAGAGUGUGAGUUAAAUCUAUCGAUAGCCGCGCCUGCAGAUAUGGGCCAGUUCGUAGUUGGUCACACUAUGGGUCAACAGUAAUAAAAAUGAUGUUCUUAAUAAUAACCCCAGUUCGAUGAUGAAAGAAGUUGGUUGAUUUUUAUGUGAUCGUGAGAGGAUGACUGUGGUAUCGAGGAUACCGAGUUGUUGGAUAUUUGUGGUGUUAUGCGGGAAUCACGGGUAAAGGUCAAGCUCCUUGUGGUCAUGUAAUGAUUACUAUGAUAUUGUUUAUACCAAGCUUGAUUGGAUCCUAAGAUGAUCGUGUGAUGUCCGCGAUGGUAAGUGAUGCAUGUGAUGGUUACGAGGUAACCCAAGCAAAGUAAGUUGGUGCAUGAUAGUGUCAUCAUGUUGCAUGCUAGUUUCAUCUUGAUUGUAUGUUCAUGCCAUGCUCAUAUUGUUCUAGCGGAAUCAUGUUCAUUUUGUUUAUGCCAUAUAAUUGAUCUGAUAAUAUCAUGUUAAUCCUUGUUAACCUGUAAUUGCCAUGUUGUUGUUUGUCUUCAUUGCUCUUGGUUAUUAUGAGCUUGCAAGUACAUUCAAUGUACUGACUUGGCUGUCAUGCCAGUUUGCAGGUCAAGUCAGAUUUGAUUCCUUGUUUGCCAUGGAUUCCUUGUUUGCGAGCUAGGAUAAGCGUUCCAGCCAUAGUCCCUACGGAGUGGAGUUCACCACCGUCGUCGAUGGUCCGCUGCCAGUAGUUAUUCCGCUGCUUGCAUAGAGAAACCGUUGCAGGCGUAGUGUCACCAUGCCAAUGUAAUCCCCUUGUACCCAAAUAGAUUGUAAUAAAGAGCUGAUUUGUUCUAUGCUAAGCAGUGCCGUAUUCCAGAAGACUUCUCCUCGAUCUCUAGGCUGGAAUACGAGGCAUUCCGGUUUAUCUGAGUUGGGGUGCCACACUUUUGUCCCAUGAUCGUUGGUAGACCUUUCUUGAACACCGUUAAUGCUAAAAUAGAUUGUGAGAAACAAACCGUCGGUGUAAGUUUUGGUGAUGAGUCUCAUGAGUUUAAUUUUUCCAAGUUUAGUAGAAAACAUCAUAAGAAAGAAUUGUAUAGUAAUUAAGAAAUAAUUGGUCUUGCUUCUAUUGUCGUGCCUCCUACUGAUCCUCUGGAACAAUAUUUGCUACACCAUGAAAAUGAUAUGCAUCUGCAUGAAAGAAAUGAAAUAGAUAAACUUUUCUUUGAACAACGUCCUCUGCUUAAACACAAUUUGCCUGUUGAAACUCUAGGAGGUCCUCCUCCACCUAAAGGCGAUCCUGUGUUUGAAUUUAAACAAUUACCACACACUUUGAAAUAUGCUUAUCUUGACGAGAAAAAGAUAUAUCCUGGUAUUAUUAGUGCUAACCUUUCAGAACAUGAAGAUGAAAGAUUAUUGAAGGUUCUGAAGAAGCACCGAGCUGCCAUUGGAUAUACUCUUGAUGAUUUAAAGGGCAUUAGUCCCACUCUCUGUCAGCACAAGAACCUGAUGCCAAACCCGUUGUUGAUCACCAACGACGUUUAAAUCCUAAAAUGAAAGAAGUGGUAAGAACUGAAAUACUGAAGCUUCUGGAGGCAGGUAUAAUCUAUCCUAUAGUUGAUAGUAGAUGGGUAAGUCUUGUUCAUUGUGUCCCUAAGAAGGGAGGUAUUGUUGUUGUUCCUAAUGAUAAAAUGAACUUAUUUCACAAAGAAUUGUCACUGGUUAUAGAAUGGUAAUCGAUUUUAGAAAAUUAAAUAAAGCAACUAGAAAAGAUCAUUACCGUUUACCUUUUAUUGAUCAAAUGAUAGAAAGACUAUCAAAGCACACACAUUUUUGUUUCCUUGAUGGAUAUUCUAUUUUUUUCUCAAAUACAUGUUUCACAACCUGAUCAAGAGAAAACCACCUUUACUUGUCCUUUCGGAACUUAUGCUUAUAGACGUAUGCCUUUUGGUUUAUGCAAUGCACCUGCUACCUUUCAAAGAUGUAUGACUGCUAUAUUCUCUGACUUUUGCAUGGAUGAUUUUUUCCAUUUAUGGAACUUCUUUUGAUGAUUGCUUAAGCAACCUUGAUUGAGUUUUGCAGAGAUGCGAGCAAAAUAAUCUUGUCUUGAAUUGGGAGAAGUGCCACUUUAUGGUUAAUGGAAGUAUUGUCUUGGGACAUAAAAUUUCUGAAUGAGGUAUUGAAGUGGAUAAAGCUAAGGUUGAUGCAAUUGAGAAAAUGACAUGUCCCAAAGAUAUCAAAGGUAUUCGUAGUUUCCUAGGUCAUGCUAGUUUCUAUAGAAGACUUACUAAAGGCUUCUCUAAAAUUUCUAGGCCUCUUACAAAUCUUUUACAAAAGGAUGUUCCAUUUAUUUUUGAUGAUGAUUGUGUAGAAGGCUUUGAAACACUUAAGAAAGCCUUAAUUUCUGCACCUAUUGUUCAACCACCGUAUUGGAACUUUCCUUUUGAAAUUAUGUGUGAUGCUAGUGAUUAUGUUGUUAGUGCUGUUCUAGGACAAAGAGUCGAUAAGAAAUUAAAUGUUAUUCAUUAUGCUAGUAAAACUCUAGACAGUGCCCAACGCAGUUAUGCUACUACUGAAAAAUAAUUUUUAGUAGUCGUGUUUGCUUGUGAUAAAUUUAGAUCUUACAUUGUUGAUUCUAAAGUGACUGGUCACACCGAUCAUGCUGCUAUAAAAUAUCUUAUGGAUAAGAAAGAUGCUAAACCUAGACUCAUUAGGUGGGUUCUUUUGCUACAAGAAUUUGACUUACAUAUCACUGAUAGAAGGGGAGCUGAGAACCCUGUGGCUGAUAACUUGUCUAGGUUAGAAAAUAUUCUUGAUGACCCACAACCUAUUAAUGAUAGUUUUCCUGGUGAACAAUUAGCUACAAUAAAUGUUUCUCAUAACACUCUUUGGUUUGCUGACUAUGCUAAUUAUAUUGUUGCUAAAUACAUCCCACCUAGCUUCACAUACCAACAAAAGAAAAAAAAUCUUCUAUGAUUUAAGACAUUACUUUUGGGAUGAUCCACAUCUUUAUAAAGAAGGAGUAGAUGGUAUUAUUAGACAUUGUGCACCUGAGCAUGAACAAAGAUAAAUCCUACGGAAAUGUCUCUCCGAAGCUUAUGGAGGGCAUCAUGCGGGAGAUAGAACUGCUCACAAGGUAUUACAAUCUGGUUUUUAUUGGCAUACUCUCUUCAAUGAUUCCCAUAAGUUUGUUUUAUCUUAUGAUGAAUGUCAAAGAAUUGGAAAUAUUGGUAAGCGUCAAGAAAUGCCUAUGAACUAUUGAUUUGUUGUUGAACCAUUUGAUGUUUGGGGAUUUGCUUACAUGGGACCUUUUCCUUCCUCUAAUGGGUAUAAUCAUAUUUUGGUUGUUGUUGAUUAUGUCACUAAGUGGGUAGAAGCUAUUCCAACUAGUAGUGAUGAUCACAACACCUCUAUUAAAAUGCUUAAGGAAGUCAUUUUCCCAAGGUUUGGAGUCCCUAGAUAUUUAAUCACUGAUGGUAGUUCACAUUUAUUCAUGGUGCUUUCUGUAAAAUGCUUGCAAUAUGAUGUUAACCAUAGAAUUGCAUCACCCUAUCAUCCUCAGUCUAGUGGUCAAGUUGAACUUAGCAAUAGAGAAAUAAAGUUAAUAUUACAAAAACUGUCAAUAGGUCCCGAAAGAAUUGGUCUAAGAAAUUAGAUGAUGCACUUUGGGCUUACAGAACAACAUAUAAAAAUCCUAUGGGUAUGUCUCCGUAUAAAAUGCUUUAUGGAAAAGCUUGUCAUUUGCCUCUUGAGUUAGAACAUAAAGCUUAUUGGGUAAUUAAAGAACUCAACUAUGAUUUCAACCUUGCCGGUAAAAAGAGGUUAUUUGAUAUUAGCUCACUAUAGGAAUGGAGAACCCAAGCUUAUGAAAAUGCCAAGUUAUUUAAAGAAAAAGUUAAAAGAUGGCAUGAUAAAAGAAUCCAAAAGCAUGAGUUCAAGGUUGGAGAAUAUGUUCUUUUGUACAACUCUCGUUUCAGAUUCUUUGCAGCAAAACUCCUCUCCAAAUGGGAAGGACCCUAUUAUCAAGGAGGUUUAUCGAUUUGGAGCCAUCAAAAUAAAUAAUGCUGAAGGUACUAACCCAAAGGUUGUUAUUGGGCAACGAAUAAAACAUUAUAUCUUAGGUACGCCCAUUAAUGUUGAAACCAAUAUUAUCCAAACUAUGACACCGGAAGAACACAGAAAAGAGAAACCUUCCUGAACACUCCAGAAUCAUGAAAAAGAGGAGCUGCGUGAUACGGUAAGUAAAUGGACUUAAAAAUCCGCAAAAAUAUUUUAUGUCCGUUUUGGAAUAUAACAAAAAUUAGGAAAAUAGGAAAGUACCGGGAAGGCAACCCUGGUGGGCACAAGACACCAGGGCGCGCCAGGCCCCCUGGCAUGCCCAGGUGGGUUGUGCCCACCUCGGUUACCUCCGUACUCCAUUUUUCUUCUGUUUGCUUAUUUCCCAAGAUAAAAAAUCUUUAUAUAUCACUGAUAACCCACAAGUAUAGGGGAUCUCAAUAGUUUUCGAGGGUGGAGUAUUCAACCCAAAUUUAUUGAUUCGACACAAGGGGAGCCAAAGAAUAUUUGCAAGUAUUAGCACCUGAGUUGUCAAUUCAACCACACCUGGAGAUUAAUUAUCUGUAGCAAAGUGAUUAGUAGCAAAGCAGUGUGAUAGUUUUGAUACUAGUAGCAACAACAAUAGUAACGGUAACAGUGAUAGCAAUGAUUUUGUAGCAAGUGCAAUAGUAACAGUAGCAGUAGUAACUUAGCAAGAACAAUAUGAGAGAAAGUCGUAGGCAUUGGAUCGGUGAAUUCAUUGGAUGAUAUUCAUCAUAUAACAGUCAUAACCUAGGGCGAUACAGCACUAGCUCCAGUUCAUAAAUAUAAUGUAGGCAUGUAUUCUGUAAAUAGUCAUACAUGCUUAUGGAAAGAACUUGCAUGACAUCUUUUGUCCUACCCUCCCAUGGCAGCGGGGUCCUAUUGGAAACUAAGGGAUAUUAAGGCCUCCUUUUAAUAGAGAACCGGAAAAAAGCAUUAACACACGAUGAAUAGACGAACUUCUCAAACUACGGUCAUCACCGGGAAGUGUCCCGACUUCAGUCACUCCGUCUUUGCCGGAUCAUAACACGUAGUAGGUGACUAUAACUUGCAAGAUCGGAUCUAGAACAUAGAUAUAAUGGUGAUAACAUAAACGGUUCAAAUCUAAAAUCAUGGCACCCGAGCCCAAAGUGACAAGCAUUAAGCAUGGCAAAGUCAUAGCAAUAUCAAUCUCAGAACAUAAUGGAUACUAGGGAUCAAACCCUAACAAAACUAACUCGAUUACAUGAUGAAUCUCAUCCAACUCCUCACCGACCAGCGCGCCUACAAAGGAAUUACUCACUCCCGAUGGGGAGCAUCAUGGAACUGGCAAUGGAGAAGGGUUGGUGAUGAUGAUGAUCGAAGAUCCCCCUCUCUGGAGCCCCAAAUGGACUCCGGAUCUGGCCUCCCGAUGAAGAACAGGAGGUGGCGACGGCUCCAUCUCGUGAAACGCGAUAAUUUUUUCUCCCUGAUUUUUUUCAAAUAUGUGAUUUUAUAGUAUCAUGGUUGGAGUCUGCGGGGCCACCAGGUGGGGACAACCCACCUGGGCGCGCCUGGGGGGGGGGGGGCAGCACACCCUGGUGGGUUGUGCCCACCCAGGUGCCCCCCUCCGGUGGUUCUCGGCUCUAGAAAUUCUCUUUUAUUAUAUCAAAAUUCCUCGCAAAGUUUCGUUCCAAUCCGAGAACUUUUAUUUCUGCACAAAGAACAACACCAUGGUAGUUCUGCUGAAAACAGCGUCAGUCCGGGUUAAUUUCAUUCAAAUCAUGCAAAUUAGAGUCCAAAACAAUAGGAAAAGCGUUAGGAAAAGUAGAUAUGAUGGAGAUGUAUCAACUCCCCCAAGCUUAAACCUUUGCUUGUCCUUAAGCAAUUCAGUUGAUAAACUGAAAGUGAAAAAGAAAAAAAUUAUGAACUCUUUUGCUCUUGUUACAUAAAUAAGCUUAAGUAGCACCCAAGUUUUCAGCAAAGAUUAUAAUUAACCAUAUCGACAAUAACUCUUAAAAAAUAUAUUAACUCAUAUCAAUGACAUAAUCAACUAGCGAGCAAUAAUAAGAUAUCUCAAACUACAACACUUUGUCAAAACAACCAUGAUAUAAUAUGACAAUAGUGGUAUCUCGCUAUCCCUUUCCGAGACUGCAAAACAUAAAUGCAGAGAAGAUCAAAAGUUCAAGCAGUGACUAAACAUUGUAAUUCAUGGUAGAAAAGAUCCAGUCAUGAUGCACCCAGCAUUAGCUAUACACAAUGCAUGAGGAUGACAAUAGUGCUCUCAGGUUCUGGCUCUUAUUUGAGAAGGUGAUGACACAACAUAAAAGUAAAUAGAUAGUCCCUUCACAGAGGGAAGCAGUGAUUUGCAGAGGUGCCAGAGCUCAAGUUCUUAAAACAAAGGUAAAUGAAAUUUGAGAAAUGCACCCUUCUUGUUUACUUCUCGACCAUUAGUUAUCGGUAUCUUACAUGCUAAACACAUUAGUGGCGGUUCCCAAGCGAUAAAAGUAAAGGUUUACUCCCCCUCCACCAACAAUCACACUCCACGACUUGUCCGAAACAACGGGUGCCGUCCAUACCAACAACAGUCCCUGGGGAGUUUUGUUUAAUUAUUUGCAAUUUGAGUUCGGGACUGGGAAUCCCUAUUACCGCCCCUCUCGUGCAAGGACGAGUGAAUAAAAACUCAUGUAAGAAUAACCCGCUUAGCAUGGAAGAUACUGACUACCUCUAGUCGCUCUAUGAACAAUUCAGGCACACAAAAAGGAUAUUUACUUGAAGUUUUUAGAGGUGGCACAUGCAAAUUUACUUAGGACGGCAGGGUAAUACCGCAUAUAGGUAGGUAUGCUGGAACCAUCUAGAAUAACUUGGGUUUCAUGGUUUUGAUGCACAAGCAGAAUUCUCACUUAGUAUAUGCGAAGGUUAGCAAAUAGGUUGAGAAGCGGCCAGCUAGAGAGGGAAAACGAUCAUGAACAUGUGAAAGAUCGUGGAUGUCGCCUAGAGGGGGGUGAAUAGGCGCUUUAAAAUAAUUUCGGUUUAGGCUUGAACAAAUGUGGAAAAAACCUAACUGUUAAUUUGUAAAGCACAAAACCUACAACAACUAGGCUCACCUAUGUGCACCCACAACUUAUGCUAAGCAAGAUAAACAACUAAGUGAUAGCAAGAUAUAUGACAAGAAACAAUAUGGCUAUCACAAAGUAAAGUGCAUAAGUAAAGGGCUCUGGCACGAGAUAACUGAGGCACGUGGAGACGAUGAUAUAUCCCGAAGUUCACACCCUUGCGGAUGCUAAUAUCCUUUUGGAGCGGUGUGGAGGCACAAUGCUCCCCAAGAAGCCACUAGGGCCAUCGCAAUCUCCUCACGCCUCGCACAAUGCAAGAUGUCAUGAUUCCACUAAGGGACCCUUGAGGGCGGUCACCGAACCCGUAGAAAUGGCAACCCUUGGGGGCAGUCACCGAACCCGUACACUUUGGCAACCCUAGGGGGAGGUCACCGGUACCCGUCAAAUUGCUCGGGGCGAUCUCCACAACCUAAUUGGAGACCCCGACGCUUGCCCGGAGAUUUACACCACAAUGAUUGAGCUCCGAACACCACCAACCGUCUAGGGCACCCAAGCACCCAAGAGGAACAAGCUCAAGGGUACCAAGCACCCAAGAGUAAUAAGCUUCUCAACUUGUAACUUCCACGUAUCACCGUGGAGAACUCAACCGAUGCACCAAAUUCAAUGGCAAGGGCACACGGAGUGCCCAAGUCCUUCUCUCCCAAAUCCCACCAAAGCAACUAAUGCUAGGGAGGAAAAUUACAGGAAGAACAAGAAGGAGAACACCAAGAACUCCAAGAUCUAGAUCCAAGGGGUCCCGCUCACAUAGAGGAGAAAGUGAUUGGUGGAAAUGUGGAUCUAGAUCUCCUCUCUCCAUUUCCCCCAAAACUAGCAAGAAUCAACGGAGGGAUUGAGAGAUAGCAAGCUCUAAGAAGGUCAACAAUGGGGGAAGAACACGAGCUCAAGAGACAGGGAACCAUUGGGGAAGAAGACCCCCUUAAAUAGGUGUCGGUGGGAAAGACACCUAUGGGAUCACAAGAAUCCCUACUACGGUUGCGAGGCGUGGGGCUGUGAGAAGAGCAAGAUCAGCAGUCAGCACCAGGAUCGUUUACCCAGGUUCUGGUCGCGAGGAUGUGUAAAACCCUAGUCCUGCUUUGGUGGAUGUAUUGAGUGUUCUUGAGCUCCUAAACUAGCUACCUUGGCUGCGUGGUUCAAAAGAGCUGAAUCCCUCUCCAGUACGCCAUGGGCCUCCUUUUGUAGUUGAAAGGGGCUGCUACAGUGGCACACAGGAGGUGGAAAAGGCCUACAGUGCUAUGAGCUUAUCGCUUGUGUUACAGGACAAGAUGCAUUUAAUGCGUAGCUUAGGUGUCCUCUUGCUUUAUCGGGGACAGGAGCGAGGUCCGUCCCGUCCGUCGCCGCUCCUCCUCACUUCGACAUGCGCGCUGGCCAGCGAUGCAUGCGGCGCCAUGUAGGCAGGCAAGCAGCUGAGGUGGCGCGGUGGUGGAGCCUCCAUGAAGAUCUGCAUGCCGCCACACAGGCGUGUGCUGAGUUGGCCUGGAAGCUGCAUGUUGCCUUGCAGGUGCCUGCCCAGCUGGUUGGGCUGGCAGCUGCAUGUGAACGGCGGUGGAGACUUGGUUGGCGUGGGCCUGGCAGUGGCCCCGCUGACGCCCUUGGCAAGGGCCUUGCCGGGUGGCCCGGCAAGGGUCUUGCCGUGGCGCGCUGUCGUGCCGGGGGUCUUGCGGGUUUCCUCGGCAAGGAUCUUGUCGAGGAUCGUUGCCUUCCAAUCUUCAUCUGAUCUUGAAUAUUCUCUGUCUUCACAAAGACCUGCAUGCCACCACGGAGGUGCCUCCCGAGCCCUGGCCCAAUCGUAGCUGAUGGUGUUGGAGACCAUGGGUUCGAGGGUGGCUCACUCCGCUAGUGUGGGCGAGCUGUCCCGGCAAGACCCUUGCCGGGGAAACCUGCUUCGUCCAUCUGCUCCCUGUGGUCUCGGUCUCUGGCGUUGCGCUGAUUAUCUUGCGGCUUCGCCUCCCCCCUUUUGCCCUGCUAAGUGUGGCUUCGGCCCGUGGCUCUGACUGUCCGUGCACAAGUAAGGGGUACAAAGGAGUGCCCCUACUUUAGUACACCAACAGGAGCCCCCGAGCCUGGCCCACACAUAGGCGCAACGCAUUGUUGGGCCAGGCCCAAAACGGUGCGCGGGAAGGCGGGGCAGUUUUUACCGCAGUAACUGCUUUCAUCCGUUGCACUUUCCCAGGAGCUACGUGACGUGGGGGAGGUCAUGCGUGACGUGGGGGCAUGCGCGGGGCAGUUUCCGCAUGCAUGCGUCGUAUCCCGCGCCUUCCCCGUAAAAGGGAAUAACCGCGGGCGCGCUGCUCACUUUACCCCUUCCCUGCGUCUUUUCCAAUCUUGGAACCGCCGCCCCCUUUCUUCCUCCUUCUCGAGCCCCCCGUCUUCGUCCACCAUCGAUGCGCCUCCAUCAUCCUCUGCCCUCUUGCCUCUCGUAGCUGCCAUGGCGCCCAAAUCCACCAAAGGCAAGGGAGUGGCCAAAGAUGUCGGGGCGACGGAGCAGCCGGAGAGCGAGCUGGUGGCGCGAUGGGCGCAGUUCGCCUACUUCCACUCGAUGGUCGACAUGUUCGAGCUCCGGGAGUCCUUCAAAUCUCUAGGGGGGGUGUGAAGACGGGGGGAGAAACGACGGGGCACCCAGCCAUGCGCGUCAUCCCCGCCAACUGCGCCGAGGCCGCCCCAAAUCGGUACCCCUUCUUUGUCGACUACUUCUCUUGCGGGCUCUGUCCCCCCUUCUCUGAUUUCUUCAAUGAUGUUAUGCACACCUACGGCUUCUGCCUUCUGGAUUUCACUCUGAAUGUCGUGGUGUGCAUGACUCUCUUCGUGCACCUCUGCGAAGGCUUCGCUGGGGUGCACCCCAACACGGCGCUCUUUCGCCACUACUUCUCCCCUCGAAUCCAAGCGGGGGGCGCCAUCUCCGGUUGCGUCGCCUGGAUCUCGAAGGCCAAGGGGAUGUACCCGGAGGGCGCCAUGAAGGAGAGGUGGGAAGAGUGGCGGGGCCGGUGGUGCUGGAUUGAGGAGGAGGACUCGCCAACAUUCUGCGAGGUUCGCCGGGAGCCGCCGGUUCGCGGAAAUGAUUGGGGCGACGUCGACGCCAAUGACGAGAAGCUCACGAUUGCCACCACCAGGAUCCUUCGGCUCACUGAGGCCGGGCUCACCCUCGAAAUGAUUGGGGCGGACUUCAUCCGCCGCCGAAUUGCUCCUCUUCACAACAAGGGGAGGCCGACCUGGCUUUUUACGAAUACUGCUGACAUCAUGAGGCUCCACCCCGGCCUCGACCACAACCUGAUGGUGCUAAGGCACGCCCAUCUCUGCCAACGGAUCUUCCAGCUCGAGGUCAAAAAAGAUGGUGAUGUUGAGCGGUCUGGCAAGGCUGCGAGGGCUUCCGCGAAGGCCGGCAAGGUUGCCAAAGAGCCUGUUUUCAAGUUGUCGGCGGGAGUGGUCCCGCUGUGCAACAAUUCUCGCCGGUCCGACAUCAUCGCCAUGAUGCCAGACUUCAAUGCGCACGGCCUUGACCCGAGCUGGGUCGAGCUGGACGAGCUCCAGGUGCAGGAAUUCUUCGACACCUUGCACGAGGGGUACGUCACCGCCGAGCCGUGGCUCAUCCAGGAUACUUCCCAGGCGGAGCUGGACUGCAUCACCGCCAGGGUGGCAGAGGCGGAGCUCGCCAAGGAGGCCUACAGCGCCGGCGGCGUGGAGGACAAGGCCGUGGCGAAAGAGGAGGAAGAAGAGCUUGCCCAAUGGGCGGCGGCCGCUGGGGAGGCUAGCGGCGCCGGCACCGGGGCUCCCCUCGUCGAGGAUGCGGUCGACGAGUCAUCGUCGGAGGAGGACGAGGGGGAGGAGACCGCGACCGCCGACCCUCCAGUCACUGGAAGAGGGCGAGUCCUGCGGCGGGCCACCUCCGAUGAGCCGGUCCGUCCCGGCCGUCCCGCGCAGCUGCGGCAGGCCCAGGAGACGUCUGCACGCCAGACGAGGGUUGUGGCGGCAAAGAAGGCAGUGAAGGCCGUGGUGGCAAAGAAGAAGGCAUCCGCUUGUUCGUCGUCCAAGCGUGCCGGGACGCCACCGCCUCCUCCUCGCUGGCAGACGUUGGUGCGGGGAUCGCUUUUGACUUUGGACCCCUCAGCCCGGAGAGGAAGAGGAAAGCAGCAGAGGAGGAGGAGGAGGAGGAGGAGGAAGUGUAAGCUCUGCUUUUCCCCCUCCUUUUCUUUUUUCGUUUUCUCCAUUUCCUCAAAUGGUGCCGCCUAUUCUGAAUCAUCUUCAUCCCGUAGGGACGUGGAGACGCUGGCCCAAAGGGCGAAGAGGGCCAGGAUUUCGACGACCGGCCAGCCCCCGGCAGGCACCUCCGGCACGCUGCUGGUGGUGUUGAGCAGCCCGGACAGCAGCCCCCGGCCCAGCCCCCAGUGUGAGUCCAUUACCCGUCCUUCGUCGACAUGCGCUAGGGGUACAAUACAUUGGUACUGACCAUGCUGUGGAUGUAGGAGGGGAGCAUCAGCAAGGGGAGCCAUAGAGGGCUUCUCCCAACGCGCCGCUCCCAUCGACCACGCCGCCCCGAGGGGCAUCCCCGGCAAGGGCACCAAGCACCGAGCCCAUGCACACGGAGGAGGAGGAGGAGAAUGCGGGCGCCGGUGGCUUCGCCUCGGCGCUGGACUUUGGCGGAGAGAGGACUUCUGCUUCUCAGCUUGGCGCGGGUAAGCCACUUGCUUUCCGUUUCUGCUUGCAUUCUUUCUUUCUUCUUUUUUUACUGGGCUUUGAUCUUGGCCCCACCCUAUCCCCUUCUUGGCAUUCAGACUUCCCCUCGAUGGACCCAGAGGACGUUGAUACCGUCAUCGAGGAUGUCGCCGAGGAUGCCGCGGCGCAGGCCGAGAAGAUCGCCGCCGAGGAGAGCGCCAAGGGCGCUGCUGAGGACGCUGCCAAGGGGCCCGCCGGGGAGCCCGGCAAGGAACCUGCCGGGAAGGCCGGCAAGGCCGAUGUCGAGGAGGAGGUGGUUGAUGACCAACCCUCCUCCUCCGUCGCCUCCGGCUCCGGCAGGUAUCUGAGGGUGAGCGAUGACCUCUUCGUCCAUCUUCUGGGCGCGUCGAGCACCAGGGCUCCCAUUGAGGGAGAGGUGUUCGACGAUGAGGUGCUUGCCGCUGCCGGGCUCGAGGUCGUCGACGAGCCGAGCGUUGGUGGUGACGGCUCCUAGGAGGAGGAGCUGCUACAGGCCAUGGGCGCCAGCUUCCGGAAGCUCCAGGCGCUCCACCACGCCCGUUUGGACAAGGCCAAGUCCAGGACAGUGGUGGGGGAGACGGCGGAGGCGGACCUCCAGGAGCGCGUCACCGAGGCGCAUGACUGGUUCCGCUAGGCUCAAGACAAGCUGAAGGCCGCCCAGGGCGAGCUGGCCAAGCGUGACAUGGAGCUCACCAUGAAGCUGGCCGACGUCGAGAAGACCCAAGAGACGACGAGAAACUUGGCCGCCACUGCCAAAGCCGCCCGGACCCAGCACAAGGCCGCACUAAACUCCCAGGAGGAGGACCUUGCCGCGCGCGAGGAGAAGCUCUCCGCCACGCUCCGCGGCAAGGAUGAAGAGGUGGAGAAGCUUGCCGCGGCAUGGACCCAGGAGCUGGAGCUCCAGCACAAGGAGGCGCUCGUCGACCAGGCCCUGGCCCACGACAACAGGGUGAAGGAGUUGGAGGCGGAGCGGAAUGAGACGAAGGAGCAAACUCUGAAGCUGUCCAAGGAGAAGGACAUGCUCAAUAGCGCCCUGGCAGAGGCGCAUGGCGUGGCCGUCAGCAGGGAGCUCUCCGAGGCCAACAACUCCAUCAGAGACCUCAGGCUGAGGCUAGAGGGUCUUGAUAAGAUACUGGCGGAGGCCAAGGUCCGAGAGGGGACCCUGACCAAGGACCUGGAGACCGAGAAGCAGCUACGGAGGAACGAGGCCGCCAACCUUAACGACCAUGUGGAGGGCGAGAAGCAUUGGCUCUAACGCCUUGCCGUCUUUGCGAACUCGGCCACCAUGCAGCUGGCCACCAUGGGGAUGUCGGACGUGAGGUACGCCCCGGAGACGAGCCUGAGCCCCAACGCCAACCUGACCCUGUUCUUUGAGAGUGUCGUCGGUGCCCUGGAGCGGCUUCACUCCAACCAGGCGGCCUCCCUGGCAGAGGAGUCCCGGAUGCUCUGCCGGGGCGCCAUGACCAAGGUGCUUGCCAAGAUAGCGUACUGGCAUCCUGACCUCGACUUCGAAGCUACGCUAAAGAGCUUGUCGGAGGAUGUAGACAUCACGGCGCUCAAGGAGCGUAUCAAGCCCAUCAUCAGCCGCAUCAAUGGAAUCAAGAGGUUGGAGGGCCAACGCCAGGACUAGGCACCCCGUUUCUUAUCGCCGCUACAGGUCCAUGACGAAGACAAUUGCUAUCUUUAGUUAGAACCGCAGCGGCAAUUUCUGUAAUAUAAAUCUACAGUACUUCUGACAUUACGCAUGUUAUUUUCCCGUUCGAUUUUCCUUUGUAUGUCCAUCCUACGUUAACUGGGUAGGCUUGCCGGCUCGUAAACCCAGGGCGACGUCUUGAGGACAGAUCCCCAUUGGCCUGCUGGGUGUGCUUGCUGCCGGGCAAACCACCUUAUCGCCCUUGAUGUGGCCGCUCGAACUGUUGAGCUUGACUCGAGUCAGAGUCGAGAGCGUUGCUAAUUGCGAAAGGCCGCCCUACCGCUCUCGACGCGGCCGCUUGAGCUAUUGAGCGGACUCGAAACAGAACAAGGGCGUUGCCAAUUGCGGGAGGGCCCCUCUGCGUAUAGGUUUUCCAUAAAUAGGCAGAAUCUCCGAGGACGAUAACCUUAUAUUAGGGAGGAAAGUUUAAAGUUUGGCAUGACUUAGCUUUUUCGUCGCCGCCCUGGCAUCCUUCGUGCUUGCAGGCAGCACGGCUCUCUUGGCCGCCUUCUCCUCUGGCGACCACUACCGUGGGAAACCACUAGGCCGGAUGUUAAACCAGAUUCUCACAGCUGCACGUGCCCCCUACCUGGCGUGCCAAAGAUGUCGGUGGGGAACAACACCUAUGGGAUCACAAGAAUCCCUACUACGGUUGCGGGGCGUGGGGCUGUGAGAGGAGCAGGAUUAGCAGUCAGCACCAGGAUCGUUUACCCAGGUUCGGGCCACGAGGAUGCGUAAAACCCUAGUCCUGCUUUGGUGGAUGUAUUGAGUGUUCUUGAGCUCCUGAACUAGAUACCUUGGCUGCGUGGUUCAAAAGAGCCGAAUCCCUCUCCUGUACGCCAUGGGCCUCCUUUUAUAGUUGAAAGGGGCUGCUACAGUGGCACACAGGAGGUGGAAAAGGCCUACAGUGCUACGAGCUUAUCGCUUGUAUUACAGGACAAGACGCAUUUAAUGCAUAGCUUAGGUGUCCUCUUGCUUUAUCGGGGACGGGAGCGAGGUCCGUCCCGUCCGUCGCCGCUCCUCCUUGCUUUGACACACGCCCUGGCCAUCGAUGCAUGCGGCGCCAUGUAGGCAGGCAAGCAGCUGAGGUGGCGCGGUGGUGGAGCCUCCAUGAGGAUCUGCAUGCCACCACGCAGGCAUGUGCUGAGUUGGCCUGGAAGCUGCAUGUUGCCACGCAGGUGCCUGCCCAGCUGGUUGGGCUGGCAACUGCAUGUGAACGGCGGUGGAGACUUGGUUGGCGCGGGCCUGGCAGUGGCCCCGCUGACGCCCUUGGCAAGGGCCUUGCCGGGUGGCCCGGCAAGGGUCUUGCCGUGGCGCGCUGUCGUCCCCGGCAAGGAUCUUGCUGGGGGUCUUGCGGGUUUCCUCGGCAAGGAUCUUGUCGAGGAUUGUUGCCUUCCAAUCUUCAUCAGAUCUUGAAUAUUCUCUGUCUUCACAAAGAUCUGCAUGCCACCAUGGAGGUGCCUCCCGAGCCCUGUCCCAAUUGUAGCUAAUGGUGUUGGAGACCGUGGGAUCGAGGGUGGCUCACUCCGCUGGUGUGGGCUAGCUGCCCCGGCAAGGGUCUUGCCGGGGAAACCUACUUCGUCCAUCUGCUCCCUAUGGUCUCAGUAUCCGGCGUUGUGCUGAUUAUCUUGCGGCUUCGCCUCCCCCCUUUUGCCCUGCUAAGUGUGGCUUCGACCCAUGGCUCUGACUGCCCGCGCACAAGUAAGGGGUACAAAGGAGUGCCCCUACUUUAGUACACCGACAAUAGGUCCCCACGAAUCUGCCCGUUAUGUGUAGAAAACUGUAGGACCGGUACAACCGGUGCACGAACCAGCACAACCUAUCAAAGUAGAGGAAAAACCAACCUCUAGGAAAAAGCCCUAAGAAGUACAAUAGCCCGGGGAACCGGUAGUACCGGUAAAACUAAACUAACCGGUACAACCGGUCAACAACCGCCCAAGAACCGCUCCAAAACAGAAACUAGUCCGGUGGUAGAGCGGUACAUGGCCGGUACAACCUUCGGACCAAUUCUGGAGCGGUACAACCGCUCCAAACAAUGGUUGUACCAGUCAACCGGUACAACCUCUCUGUAAAACAGGUAAGAUCAAAACAGCCACAACUUUCGCAUACGAGCUCCGAAUUCGACGAAAUCAAGUUUGUUGGAAAACUAAAGACAAGAGCAAACAAAAUCUUGAUAGAAAUAUCAAGAAGUAGCAAUUGAGAAAAUAGCCAAAGUAAAAUGGUGAGAACCCUUUCUCAAUAAAGACUGGUAAAAACUCCAACACCGAAAACAAAGAAGAAGAUGCAUAGGAAAUCGGUUUUCGAUGAACUCAAGCUUGUCAUGAAGGUGACCAUAAGCUCAAAAUCUCACAAGGAGAAGAACAAAAUAAGAAACAAGAGAGAAGACUCAAGGAUGCAAUGGUUUGAGCUCUCGACGAACGAUACGAUCAAGCUACUCACUAGAGAGGCCCCCUUGAUAGUACGACAAUCGAUCCUACAACCCGGUCUCCCAACAACCACUAUGAGACUGGUAAAAUAGAAAACCUAUCAAGGGCAAACCUUUCCCUUGCACAUAGUCCACUUGAGCUAGAUGAUGACAAUCUUGACUUCCGCAAGUUGGACCACCUUUCUUGAUUGUGUUCUCUCGAUGAAGACUAGUUGAUUGCUGCCCCAUACUCCACUAUGAGUGAGCCACUCUUCAACAUAUCUUCACAAUUCAAUUGACACCACAAUGAAAGGCAAGCUUCAAGAUUGAUUGCUCCCCCAUACUCCAUUAUGGGUGAGCCACUCUUCGUGUUGCUCCACUUGAACUUGCACACCGCAACCUAACCCCACAAUGAACUCUCACGAAUACCAUGGGUUAGCAAACAAAGCGUAAUGGACAAUGCUUACCAUACCAUGGGAUCACCUGAUCCCUUAGUACAUCUUGUAUGCUUCGUGUGUUGAAUCUUUCCAACUCUCUUCAUUUGGAUGAUGUCUUGAAGGUAGACAUGAAUGAUCACACAAUCUUCUUCUUCAAGACAUGCUUGCAAUAAGCUCAACACUCACAUGACCAAUCAUUGGAUAAUUCCUUAAUAGCACCUUGGUCAACUCAUAAAGUCCUUGAAACCAACACAUGGACUUCAAGAAAAGCCUAUGGACAAAUUCUUCAAACAUAACUCAAUGCAACCAUUAGUCCAUAGAGAAUGUCAUCAAUUACCAAAACCACACAUGGGGGCACCGCAUGUCUUUUCAAUCUCCCCCAUUUUGGUAAUUGAUGACAAUCACUUUCAAAAGAGUUUAUAUAAGGAAUUAUGCAUCACCAUGCAAUGCAACAACCAAUGAUGCAUGAGUAUGAGAUGCAAAUGCUUAGGAACAAAACCAAAGCAAGGAGAAAACUCUGAAGACUUCUCCACAAAACUCUUUGAAACUUCUCCCCAUUGGCAUCGAUUGCCAAAAUGGGCGAAAAGCUUAGAAUACCAAUAUAAAAAGUGUUCCUCCAAAAAUUGUGUAUUUCUCAACAAGAGAGUGGAAUGCCAUACACAUAUCCAAAGGUAAUACUUGGAGGAAGACCAACUAUAUUGAGGCACAAAGAUUGCUAAAGAAAGAUAUGCCACAAAGACAUAAUAGAGAGAGACACAAGCAAUCAAGCAAUCAAAAGAUACCAAUUGAAGCAAGCAAUCAACGGAUAUCAAUUGAACCAACUAGACCAAAGAUCCUAUGAGCCACAUGGAUAAAGGAUUUUAUGAUAUGAGAAGAGGAGUGUUCUAAAGAAACUAGAGAAGCUCCCCAUGAUUUGUGCACAAAUAAGAAUUUUUGUAUUUGGAUACAAAGUGCACAAAAUAGAAUCAUAGCUCCCCCGAAAUCAAUAGAAACUUACAACAAGUGCAAGUGAGCAUAUAGGAAAAAAAAGCCUAGCACUUGCAACAAACAAAUGGUUGGGCAACAUAUAAAAGAGGCAACUUAAGAAUAGGCUCAACCAAAACCGAUGUGUGUGAGUCAAGGCAAUGCACUUGAGAAGACUAAUGUACAGAUGAGCAUUAAGCAUCAAUAUAGUCUUAAAUCAAUGAGAUACAUGGUGCAAGGCAUGUCAUCCCCCCCCCCACACACAAGAGGCAAUUGGGUUCACAAGCUUACUAAAAUGCAAAUUAAGAACUAAUGCUUGUGACAACCCGUGGUGAAGAUAGAAAAUGAAAGCCUCAUCAAGACGAGGGAUACCAAUUAAGAUGGCAAAGGUCUCGUCAAGACUAGGGAUGGCAAUGGGGACAAUCCCCUAUGGGGAUACCUACAACGUCCCCAUCCCCAUCAAUUCCCUAUUAUCCCAUCCCCAUCCCCGUUUACAUGAUAGGGGAUGAAAUUUCCCCAUACCCAUGCCCCACUGGGGAACGGGGCCCCAUUAGGGUCCCCAUCCCCAUAAACAAAUACUCAUAUACAUAAUAUGAGACCCUAUGAUUACAUACAUGGUGUUGUCCUUGUCCUGCUGAUGCCUAUCUAGGCCGUAUUAACUUCUUGGUCAUGGUGGCAGCUGAGGUGAGGAUGUGAGAUAGGUUUAAGGUUUUUUAGAGCUUUUUUUUGUUUUCGCAAGUUUGUUUGUGAAUAUUUUAACGUUGACCGCAUUGUCACGCUUACUAACCGGGUCCCCGAUGGGUAUUUGGUCUGGGGAAUAGGAUAUCGUCCCCAUCCCCGUUGUACCCUAUGGGGAAUAAAUUAGUUUGGUAAAUAUCCCCAUGGGGAUGUUUUUCGCCCAUCCCACCCCCUAAUAGAUGAAAUCCCCACGGGUUUGGCUGAUAUGGGGCCCCGUUGCCAUCCCUAGUCAAGACAAGCAUGAGGAAAAAGAUCUUCACCACGAAAGACUACAUCAAGAUGCAAGGAGAUAAGACCCGCACUCAAGAUAAAUCCUUUCACAAAACCACCAAGGAAAAAGGUGGAUGUGAAGGAAUAACGAUAUCAACUAGAGAUGUAACUUUACUCAAGUGUAUAAGAUUCUAGAACGAUCAAAAUCAUGAUGAUAUCAAUCCACAGAGAAGGAUGCACACACAAAAUAGUUACAAAAAGGAAAUAACAAGAUAUCCACAAGGAAGUCAUAAACUAUACUGAUAAGAUCUUUGCUUGAAAAGUAUAUAGCACAUGGCUUAAUAUUAUCUUAUAGUAUAUAAAUGAGCUUCAAGCAAACGAACAUCAAAGACAUCACAAUCAUUGUUGAGAUGCUUUGAGAAGGGAAACAAGUAUCACAAGAUAUGAAAUGAAUAUCAUGCCAAGAUGCAACCUACACAAGGUUGAAUGCACGAGAGGAAAUCAUGAAUAGAUAUUUGUUACCUAGAUAGCAUUGUAAGGAUGUAGAAGAUACCAAUUGAAGGUAUUAGAUAGUAGUUCAUUGAACAUCCUAGCUUGACUCCAAUAAGCGCAUGGUGACAACACCUUCCUUGUGAGUGAGACGAGCAUCCAAUGCAUCUCCAAUUGUUCCUAGAACAACAUCACAAACAAAAUGGUACCCAAACUCAUUGGGACCAAAGAGUUAGAAACACCAAUACAUAGGACAAACUCCACAUAAAUAUGUGCACAUAGAUAUGAAAAUAAAUAUCAUGCACAUCUCAUCCAAUUUGAGACUUGGUGGAGUUUCCCCUAUAUAUUGUGUCAAAGAAAGAAAGCAUGCCAAAUAAAAUACAUGAAGUAAAUAUGCAUGUUCGAAACUUUCAAGGACCGAAACCAAAUGAAAAAGAAAUACCACGAGAAAAUAGGAUACCAGAUGGAUAAAUCAUCACUUGGAAGAUAUCAUUAAAAGAUACAUCAAGGAAUGAGAUAUCCAUUGAUAUACACUAAUUAAAAGAUAUCAAACUCCCAAAAGAGAGGAUGGUUCCAAACAAACCACGCUGUCUACAAAGUUUCAUGAUGGCACAAAGUACCAAAAAGCAAACGGCUUGCCUUCCACAAACACACGCUUGAUAAGGAUCACAAGAUGAGUAUUUUAUAGAAAAUAGGAUAGCUCCCCCAAGACUAGUGCAUUAUAGAGAAUUUGCAUUUGAAUACAAAAUGCACAAGGUGGGAUCACCACUCUCACUAUAUCUAGAAAACACUAGACAAGAUCAAGAAAUUAACAAGAUCCACAAGUGGUAUGGAAGACAAAGGGAGUUGACACAGAACUUGGCAAGAGAUAAGGCAAAUAAAAGCAAAAGACAACGUGAAGAUGAUUAAUAAUUUCUACCACACAUAAGUGAGUACCAAUUGUCAAAAGAAAAGAAGUAUUUGGAAAUAAUUCCCGUUGGUAGAUAACAAGGAUAUCCAACAUCAUCUUCG
rnacentral:lncRNA from 1 species